GAGAUUAAGGAUUUCCUUCUUACAGCAAGAAGGAAGGAUGCUCGAUCUGUCAAAAUCAAGAGGAGCAAAGAUGUAGUCAAGUUUAAGGUUAGGUGCUCCAAGUACCUUUACACACUGUGUGUGUUUGACUCAGAGAAGGCUGACAAAUUGAAGCAAUCUCUUCCUCCAGGUAUUUUACCCCCACCUUGCCAUUUUCAUGGGUUAAUUUUUAGUAAGUUGAUACAUUAUAUGGCCAUGCUUGAGACGUGUUGCAUGUGUGUCUGGUUCUUCCCUCAACACAUGGACUGAACUGGACUAUGUUCUUUUGGAAUAGAGUUAACCGGGUUUAUUUAUUCAUUUAUGUUUUUUUUGUACCUGGUUUUUAAGUAUACAUGGUUCCACCUUUAAUAUUCUUAGAAAACCAUGUUCAAUCCAAACUUUUGCUUGCAUAUUUUUUGAAGUUAGAAAUGCUUUUAAAAGGGGUUUUUCAAACAGACCCUUGGAUCCUUUGCUGAUAUUGCGCUGUCUAUGGUUGAUUGCUUCAUCCACAUAUGUUUCUGUUUUGUAGGUUUGAGUGUGCAGGACCUGUGAAGAGGGAGCUGGGUAGGACCUUUUUGUUGGCAUUUGGCUAUGAGAAAUUAGCAAAUCUACUUUCGUUUAGUUCCUUUUUGGAAAUGAUAUUUCUUCCUUGAUUGCAUACUAUUUGGUGUUUAGAUUCUAUUUGCCUUUUUGGCAGAAAAAAAUCUCCAGAUUCUUUUUCUCCCUUGUAUGUGUAGACUUGUGAUGAGUGUAGCUUCUAUCUAAUGUAUGCAUUUUUCCAUCUCUUGCAUCUCUGAGGAUGUGUUUGGGAUGGGGGAAUAGGAAUGGAAAUGGAAGUGAAUCAAUAUUCAUGUUCAAGAGAUGGAUCAAAAUCCUUAAAAGAGUGGGUUUUGGUUUACAUGAGAAUCGAAUUGGUGAUUCCCUAUUCUCAUUUCUGUUUUCUAGUUGUAAACCCAAAUGCAGGAGGAACAAAUGGGAAAUCGGAAUGCAUUUCUCAUUCCAAUGUCCUAUUCCAACAUUCCAAAUGUAGCCUAAAUGUGAUAUAUGUACAUGCAGGUAUCCUUUUCGUGGCAAAUUUGAUCUUUGAAGACAUUACUAUUUAAUUGCAUUUUGGAUUUGUAGGUGGGGGGCCUUCUUGUGUUUGGGCAAUGAGAAAAUGUUUCUCCUUGUCACUGCCUGAUAAACCUGAGGGUAUGUUUGGAAUCCGGGAAUGGGAAUGAAAAUAAACAGUUUUAGUUUGGUUAAGGUGGGGUUCGGACCUUCAUUUUCCGUUUGUUUUUAAUUUUAUUUUAUUAAAUAAAAAUGUUUUAUCUACUCAAACAUUUUUCACUGCAAUAAGUUUUCUUUUUGGUUUUAGAUGUUGAAGGGAAGGCCAUGAAUUUAAAGAUUUAUUAUUAUUAUUAUUUUUAAAGUUUUAAUAAUUUUAUUUAUUAAAAAAAACUAUAAUAAAAGUUUUUAUUAAAUUUUUUUAUUAAAAAACUAUAAGGAUGCAUUUAUAGGAUCGCUUUGACUAAAUCAACCAAUAAUGACAAAUAUGACACAUUUCCUUCUUUUAAAACAUAGAGGAAAUAUGGGGAAGGAAUUAAAAGUAAUAUUAUGGUUUUUGAAAAAUACUGAAUAAAAAAAAUGAAAAAUAGAAAAAUGGUUUUCUCAUAUUGGAUUUUAUUAUAAAAAAUAUAAAAAAAUCAAAUAUAAUUAAAGUUAAUUUAAAAAUUUAUACAUGUUAAAAGUUAUUUAAUCUAUAAAUGAGAUAAAUAAAUAAUAUGAGUUUGGAAACAGAUAAAAAUGAUUUAUUAAAUUCAAACUUGUUUUUUAUUUCCAUUCAAUUUUUUUUUCUUUUUAUUUUAUUUUUUUUCUUUUGCAUUUUCCUUUAAAUAUAUAGCUUAAAGAAUUUCAAAAAGUAAAGUACUUUUUUUUUAGAAAAAUAAUUACUUUUUAUUUUUAUUUUCAAGUAAUACCAUUUAUAUAUAUAUAUAUAUAUAAAUGGUAUUACUUGAAAAUAAAAAUAAAAAGUAAUUAUUUUUCUAGAGAUGUUGAUGUCUAAAUUUGUUUUUAGUUGAUAAAAGGCAAAGACAAAGAAAACCAUUACUCUCAUGUUUCCCAUUUUUGUAUUCUUUAGGAUUAGGGGAAUGAAGUUGUUAGUGGGUUGUUUGGAUGAACUCUUAUAUGGUUUUUAGCUUUGCUAAAUUAUUGAUUUUCAAACAUCUUUUAUCUUAACAUACAAAAUAAGAACAAACAUAGUAAUAAUUUUUUUGUAAUGACAAUUAUGAUAAAUUAUUUAUUUUUAAAUAUUUUACAAUUGUAAUAAAUUUUAAUAUUUUGAAAUAUUUAAAAAUAUGUUAAUUAUUAUUUUUUAAUGGUAUUAUUAAUUAAGAUGGCAAAUACAUGACAAUUUUUUAUCCUUUGAAACCCGGUGUUGACAAAAUUGUGUCUUACAAUUAAGAUUGCUAUAUUGACUCUGGGUUGUGAUAAUUUAUUUUAUUAUUUUAUUUUUAGAUAUUUCUAAAAAGAGUUUGAUUAAGACUAAAAACCUAAAAAUAAAAAAAGAGCUUCUCACAACCGGUCCAAGGCAAGAAUGUACUUGGGAGUUGGGAGUCACAUUAGACAUGUUUCAUAAGUUUUGAACCAAACAAGCCCUAAUUUUUUAGGCCACCACCGUGACAUUAUCAAUUGUUGAAAUUGAUAAUGGCAUUUAUCUAUAAAGCGCUGAAUCCAAGGAUAUCCACUACAGAUGCUCCCACCAUUCCACGUAAAUCACUUUGGUGUUUUUCCUCUGCUUCGCAUCCCCACAUAACACCUACUCUCCACCCAAUCAGCCCCUUCCAACAGGUGUACUGUGCUGUCAUUUUGUCAAAAGCAUAGGGUUAUUUAGGGAAUUCAACUAUUUUCACAAACAUUUUUUUUCAUUAUUUUUUUCACUUUUUGUCUGAACCCUAAUGUUUUCCCCUCAUUUUUAAAUACAAAUUAAUCCUAUAAAAUGACAAAAUUACCCCUUCUAUACCUAUAGUCCAACAACAUAGAGGAUAGUUGAAUUUAAGUUAAAUUAUUGAUUUAAAACUUAAAACUUAAUUAGUUGUUUGAUAAAAUUAAUUUAAAAUAUCACAUUAAUAUAUUUAUCCCAAUAAAUUAUAAUUAGGAGAAAGGAGUCAGAGUAAUAAUAGGGAUAGUUAAAUAACAAAAGAGAUCGUGGACGUAUUUCAUGAUAAAUGAGAUAAAAAAGUAAAAUGAAAAUGUGAAAUUAAAAAUAAAUUAAUCUUUUUUACUUAUUAUUUGAAAUUGUUUUUGACUUUAAUUAAUAUUAUUAAAUUAUUCUAUCAAAUAUAUUUAAUAUACUUAAUAACUCAAAUUAAGUUAUUAAGUUGAUUUAUUAAAUAUCCACUAAUUCUAAAAUUCUUUUUUCUAUUUAUUUUAAUUUUUUGGACGUGUAAUUUAUUUAUAGGUUCUUAUUAUUGUAUUUUAGAAUUAUUUUUAUUUAUAAAAUAAAAAAUAAUUUUUUUGCUUUUAUAUUAUACAUUUUUUUAAAGUACAUUGUUUUUAUAUUAAAUUUUAAUUAUAAACAAAUAAAUAUUAUUUAUCUAUUAUUUUGGAUAGCAGAACGUGAAUAGCACGUUUUACCGGUUUACAUAGAAUUUCCCUGACUUGUUGCCGAUUGUAAUAUCUUCUUUCGUAUCGGUUGUACUUGAGUGUCUCUCACAAUAAACAGGUACAACUAAUCAUUCACGGUUGGGCACGUGGCAGUACUGGAUUGAUGUGAAAGGAAAACGAACCAUCGCGUACCUUUUUUUUGAGUGGCCCCUACUUUUUCUAUUAUUUUCAUUGCUACCCUUUUUUAUUUAUAUAUUAGUCCUUUACUUUCGAUGAAUUUCCAUAUUUAAGAAAAACCAUAAUAAAUUUUAUUACUCACAGUACGUGAAAAGAAAAUUUAAUAAUUUCAUAUUUUUUGUUUAACAAAAGUUUAGAAUAAAAUAUCAAACUGUGAAGCUUGUGAAAUAAACAUUUUAAAAUUAAAAUAAUUUAAUUUAAACUAUGAAGUUUGAGUAUUGAUAUUUUUUUUUUUCAAGUUCAUUUCUGAACAAUAUUUUUGGACAUUUAUUUAGCUCGGGUUUUGAUAUAAAAACCUAACACUUUAGAUUGUAAUGCAUGCAUGUGAUCUUAUAACUAUUGUUAUGCGAUAGUGCUCUUAAUUCUUGUAUGCUUUUAAGAAUCUUCUUAAAAGAUUUUUAGAUGAAAAUUCGAAAUACAUUAAACUAUGAACCUUAAAACAUGUUGAAGUGAUCCAUCAAUGAGCCUCGGGUGGUGUUUGUAAAAUUAAAUUUUUAAUUAAUGAGUUAUCUAAAACAUAGAGGAUGAGUAACUAAGUAGUUCAAGCAAUAAAAAUUAAAAUUUAUGUAACAACUAUACCAUAAUGUAUAUAAAAAUUUAAUUUAUUUGUAAAUAAAAAAGAAUAAAAAUUAUUGUUUAGUUUAAUUUCAUUUGUAUUUUUAAUUUUUUUUAAAUAUUAAACUUGACUUCUAAUUAAUAUUUUCAGUCAAAUGGUAAACCAAUAAUUUUUUAUGAAAAUGGUUAUAAUAUUUUUGCACAAGUUCAUAAUAAGCUUAAAAACUUUCUUUUUUAUUGGUAUUUAUAAUAAUGGUGAAUUAAUGUUGGUAAUAAUAUUAAUCGUGAUCGUGAUGCAAAAUUGUAAUUGUUAAUUAUGAUAAGUGCUCUAAUCAUAAUUAUUGGAAUAAAUAAAUUUUAUAUCAUUAUGCAAUUUGAAUUAACAAAAUUAAUGUUUCAUUGCAUAGUAAGUGCAUUCCAAUUACCAAAUAUGAUAAUCUUAUGCUCGAAAAGGUCUUAUGUCAAGAAAUGAUAAAAAUUUCGAGAUUAUGGGCAUGCCAAAUAAUUGUAAAAAUUAUGAUACCAAAGUAUAAAUAAGUGAAAAUGUAAGGGUAUUGUUGCAAAAAAGCACUUUUGUACAGUUAUAUUACAAGAAGAGAGCAACGACUCUCCUACCAGUCUCUUCACAAUCUUCAGUCAAAUCUAGACCCGACCCGAUAAUUGUUAUCCAUGAUCGGAUGCUGUAGUUUUUGCCCAUGUUUCGGAAUCUCCGGCGACGCCGACGACGAUCUGGGCCGCUCCAAUCUAGACCCGGUGCUGCUAAUCUCCGGCAUCGGUGGCUCCAUUCUCCAUUCCAAGAGGAGGCGGCGCGGGUUCCAGACCCGGGUUUGGGUCCGGAUCUUCUUGGCUGAUUUGGAGUUCAAGAAGAAGCUCUGGUCUAUCUACAAUCCGAAAACAGGUCUCCUCUAUCUUCCUGUGUUUCUUGUUUGGUUGAUGAGAAAAUGCGGGAAAAAGUCAGGAAAAUGGAGUACAGAAUCUCGUGUUUUUGUUAUUUUUAUAUUUGGUUUGGAGGAGAGAGAAUGAGGAGAUUCAACUCAGCUAUGCGAAGUAGUUGAGCAUUGGAUCAGUUUGGUAGAGGUUUGUUUUUUUGUUUAUGAAAUGAUGAAGUUGAAGACAGAAAAUUGGUUUUUUGACUUUUUGUUGAUUUUCUCAGCAACCAAACAGACAGUGACUUGAAAGUUAUUUUAGAUUCUUGGUUGGUUAUUAUAUAAUUUAUAUGCUUGUCAGUUAAUACUUUGAUCUGCUUAUUUAGGUAGUAGAGCAUAACAUGCCUCUUCUCUCUCUCGGUUGUCUGAUCGGUUGCUGAGAAAAAGCAAGAAAAUAUGAGAAAAAGGUUUAUUUUCAGUUGGUUUUGAGAAAAGAAAAUGAAGAGAUUGAAUUGCAAUAAACCAUGUAGUCGGACUUUAUGCUAAGUCGGGUGGGGGUUUUCAUGUUCUUAUUUCUGAAAUGAUGAAAGCGUAAUAAUAUGCAAAAUUAGUUUCCUGUCUUUUUAUUAAUUUUCUCAGCAGCCAAAUGAACCAUAACUUUAAUACGUUUUUUCUGUUUUUUUUUUCCUCAGCAACCAAACAGAACACAUGUUGGUUUGGAUAUUUUUUCUUAUUAAAUUUAAUCCAAAUUGUUAGAGGGAUUUUCAAAGUCCAUUCAAAUUCUUGGGGGUUUGCAGUUAAUUUAUCUUAUGUUAUUUUUUGGAGCAUAAUAAAAUUCCUACAUUUAUUUCUUUGGAGAAAUUUGUUUAUUUGUUAUCUUUUGAGUUUGAUAUUUGCUCCAAUAAACUGGAAUAUUGGGAGUCAAGUUAGAUAUUGGGGCCUUAGUGUUUUCAGUUCAGCAUGAUUAUGUUGCAUGGUGAGGGAAUCUAAAUUCAAGGGUUUUGUGAAAUUUGUUGGUCCUGUAACUUUGUUGAUGUGGACUUUUCAGGUUAUACAGAAGCACUAGAUGAUGACUCAGAAAUUCUGGUCCCUGAUGAUGAUCAUGGACUUUAUGCGAUUGAUAUUUUAGAUCCCUCUGUGGUAAUGUUGACUGAACUGUUCUUAUAAGGAGAUUACUAGUUUGCAUUUGUUUAAUCUACCAAAAGAGGUGUACUGUUAAUGGGACAUUUUUUGCACCCUUCUUAAAUGAUUAGGCAUGCAAUUGCAGUAUUCUGACUUGUGACUGGAAAAAAAAUUAACAAACUUAAAGUGGUUUAUUGAGGUCUUGUUAAAAAUUUAUUCAGCUAGAGGGUAUUUAGAAAGUUCUAUGUUAGACAAUGUGUUCCUCUUUCCAACUCUUUAGGCUCAGUAAUUUGAUCGUUCAUGUUUAACCUCUUGGUGUUUCAUGUGCUUGACUGAUUAUUCAAAUUCACUACUCCAUUGAAUUCUGAGACAAAGAAGGAUUGUGGAACACCUCAGUUUCUUUAGAGUUGAGCAGGCCAAAAGCAAAAACAUGCAUCUGUCCUUGCAAGUUGAGUGAGCUUAUAACAAACUCUUUGCUGGACAUGUCUAUUUCUGUUUGAAAUUCUCAAAGCUCACUAGGGUAGGACUAGACCGGCUGACUUAUCCUACUCUGAACAAAAAGGAUCAUUUGCUCCUGCUUGUGAGUCACUGACAGAGGAUUAGUUCUUUACAUAUCUUUGCCUUACGUGAUUUCUUCCACCUGUUAAAGAUUGGGAUUGGCUAUUUGUUCUUCUCUUGCCCUGAGCUGGGGUUCAUUAAGUAUUAGACUGCUGUAUUCCUAUGGUGUUGAUGUCACUAGUCAUUUUCAGAUAAUGGUUCAAAGCUAUUACUGGGAAAUAUAUACUAUUAUUUGAUAGUAAGUCUUAAUCAGACUUUGUGAUCUGGGAUUUCCAUGUCCAAUCGAAAACAGUUAACUUUUGUGUUUUCCUUUGAAACAUGGCUGUUGUUGAUUUGAGAUCUUCAGAAACAUAUACCACUUAUGGUUAUCCUUUUUAAUAUAAUAUUUUGUUAUUUAUUUUGUUUAUUUACCAAAAGACCAUAUAUUUUAGUGUUUUAUUAUUUCUUAUAGUUUUUUUUUUCACUUUGAUGUUCAGCUGACAAAAUGUUUACAUCUGAAGGAGGUAUAUUAUUUUCAUGAUAUGAUUAAUAUGCUCCUUCGAUGUGGGUACAAGAAGGGAAUCACAUUGUUUGGAUAUGGUUAUGACUUCCGGCAAAGCAAUAGGUAGUUUCAUUUCAACUUGUUGAAUACUUUGUGGUAAAAGUUGAUUACUUGAUUAUUUCCUCAAAUGGUUAAAUCCACAACCAUACAUAAUCAAAUCACAACAAUGUCCUAGCAAGAGUUUCCACAACUUGCAUUUAGUGCAAUGUCCUCAAUCUCUGAGCAUCCUGUUUGUUUUAUUAUUGGCAGAAUUGACAAAGCGAUGGAAGGCCUAAAAAUAAAGUUGCAAACUGCAUACAAAGCUUCUGGGGGUAGAAAAGUUAAUAUAAUUUCACAUUCAAUGGGUGGAUUGCUAGUGUCCUGUUUCAUGUCACUCUACAAUGAUGUGCGCAAAAUUUAUCUUGGUGAUUAGUUGAAUCAUUUAUCAUAUUUCAUGGAGAAUGUGGAAAUAUGAGCUCAUAUACCAUGAGAGGCAUGACCACUGAUUAAAUUGUUCAUUGGCAGGUAUUUUCCAAAUAUGUAAAUAAGUGGAUCUGCAUUGGGUGUCCUUUUCAAGGUAAAUUUUUAUGUUUGCCAACAAAAAUGCUGUCUUGGAAUAAGCCUAGAAAAAUUACGCCCUUUUUUAUAGCCAAACAUCAUGGAAGAUUUUUUUUUUUUUGAUAAGCAGAGAGAAAAAUAAAAGAUGCCUAACAAAAGAAGGGGGGUGUACCCCAAGUACAUUGGGGGGGACAUCAUAGAAGAAAUUGUUGGUCAUUGAUUCUCACUUAUAUCUGUGAGUCUCAGUUAUGUGAAAGAGGUAGAGUUUCUUGAGUAUGUGAAACAAUUCUCAUACUAUUACAACCACACCCUGCCCUUACCCCUCCACUUGAGUCUAGAACUGAAAGUCAGUCCAAAAUGGGCUUUUUGAAGAAGAAUUGCUGGGCAAAUCAUAUAAAAAGAAGCGCUAGCUCUGGUUUUUCAUAUCAUACUUUGUUCAUCUUAUAUGGAGAAAUGAUGUCAAAAAAUUGCAACUUGAAAUGGCUUUUAUCACUUGUGCACCAUAAAACCAGUGGAACAAAGUGGGUAUAAAUUUGCAUUAAUGGAAGCCAGAUAGUGCUCACUGUUAAUUAAAUGAUUUUAAUAUAUUUUUUGUACAGAUAUUUAAUUAAACAGCAUAUUAAGCAUUACAAAAUAUGCACAUUUAGGCAGUGGAAAAAUGUGUAAAAAUGCAAGACCUAAUCUGUAGAGGCCCUUCAGUUCUUAUUUUCUUAUUCAUGAUGUGUGGUGAUGUGGAAGGUUUCAGAUUUGAUUUUCCCAACAGGAAAAAGGAAAUGUAACCUAUCAAAUAAAUGAACUAAAAGUACUAAAAGUUUGCACAAGCAUCUCCCCGACAAAGUUGUACCUAGUGACCUUUACAGCAGGUGGAACAAGAAUGCCCAUGCUCUUUGAAAUAAUCUUUUCAAGACCUGAAAAGUUCCAUUCCACCAUUUAUGCUGUUUCAGUUUUUCCCCUCUAUGAGUGUAUACUUGAAUAUCAAUUCUGAAAUAUGCUUAACAGGUGCACCAGGAUGCAUCAAUGGUUCUCUUUUGACUGGAUUGCAAUUUGUUGAUGGCUUGGAAAGCUUCUUUUUUGUAUUGAGGUGGACAAUGCAUCAACUGGUAAUUUCUUAGUUUUGAUUCCUCUACCUGUGAUGAAACUAAGGCAUGUGUUAAACUUUCUAGUGUGAUGAUACCUUCCAUUAUGUACACCCUAGGGUUGGGUCUAUAGGGUCAGGACUGUUUUACUUGUAUAGGCCUUUUGUUCCUAUUGUAUAGCCUUCCUUGGUUAGGGGAGGUUUACUUAGUUCUUUUGAUUAGGCGGCCUUUUGUACCUUUUGUAUAGCCUUCCUUGGUUAGUGGAGGUUUACUUGGUUCUUUUGAUCAAGCUUGUACUUCAUGGGGAGGAUUCCUCAUCUUUCUCAUGUUUCUUUUCUCAUUUAAUACAUAUCUUUUGUUUCUGAUAAAAAAAUAUAAAAAUGAUGCCUUAAAAGUGGAGAAACUAAAAUCUUCUUCACCAUCAAGGGUUUUGCCCAAUUUUGUUGGUCAGUUUUAUCUCUAAGUUUUUCUUUUUGUGACAUGAAUGGUCAUUUGAGUCUACUUAAGUUAUGUGAUUAUUGCUUGGUGGUGAUUUGAGAGAAUGCAAAGCUCUUAAUUCACCUUUCUUACAAGCCAGUCCAUAUGAAUCUGAAGCCUAAAACCAAAACUCAUCUCAUGUCACUCAUCUUUCUUGAUAGAAUUAUUUUAAUAAGUGGAAUGUAACUUGUAUGUGGUGUUAAUAAAUGAGUCCUAUAAUAGUUAUAAUAAUUGGAAGAAAUAGAUGGAAUACAAAUCAACUAAUGCAAAAUAAGAACUGAAGAAAAAAGCAAAUUUCAAAAUUAAAUGGUCUGACUUCUGUUAGGGAUACAUAGACUCAUUCCUUAGGUAAUAUGAUGAAAGAAUAGGAAGUUGUGCAUGCUAUUAGGAAAUAAUAGCCAGUUUUAGCAUGCCAUCUCAGUCAUGUUAGACAAUACAUUUCCAUAAUUUUUUCCUCUCACUUUGUCCAUGUCAUCAUAUUCACUUGGCACAGUUUCAUUUAAAAUGCUGCAAAUUCUUUCCCAUUUUUAGUUGGUCGAGAGCCCAUCAAUAUAUGAAAUGAUGGCAAAUCCAGAAUUCCAGUGGAAAAAGCAACCUGAGAUUCAGGUUUGGAGAAAGCAAUUCAAGGAUAAGAAAACUUCUUCAGUCGUGCUGGAAACAUAUGGCCCAACUGAAAGCAUCACUCUGUUUGAAGAAGCUUUGAGAGAUAAUGAGGUACAAAUUCAAACUUCAUUAAGCAGGAAAAUGAUCUAAAUUCUUGUUGUGAAGUUAUUGACACAACUUUAUUUAAAUGGAAAGCAAUCUAAAUUCAUGCAGUGGAGGUGUUGAAUCUCUGUGUGUCUGUUCCCACUGUGUGGCCUUAAUUUUUCUCGAUUAAUCAAAAAGCUGGUGAUUGUGUGGUUCAAGUUCACUAAAUUAAUUUAACUACAUCUAAAACUGAGAACAUCUUAAAUAAAACCCAAAAAAUGUAGAGUCCUUUUUUCUUUUUUAACAUUGGAAUUUCUCUAGUAGUGUUGAAGAUACAAAGGGACUUGAAUGAAGGCAACUCUAACAAUAAUGAAUGAUAAAUACUGUUCCUCACUCACAGGUCAUGCUUGCCCUUUUCCAUAGGCAACUAAAGUUUAAACAUAAAAUACAUUGUUGUGAAUUUCCUCUUGAACACCUAUGGGUUUAGGAUUUAUACAAAUUAGUAAAACUACUAGAACACCAAUUCUAUUGUUUUCUGUUAUCUUCCAAUCAUAUUUUGAUAUAUUCUAGGUUGUUAACUAAUCAUUAUUUUAUAGCUGAAUUUAUUUAUUGACUCUGUUUUGCUUGCUGUGAUAUCAGUUCUUGUAGCCUGGUUUUCCGCAUUCUUGCCACUGAAUAACUAUUGUACUUCUUAACUUCUAGGCAGAACCCAUUUCAUUCCUCUCUUGAAAACUAAAUUUACUUUAUUUCAUUCAAUUACAGGUGAGUUAUGAUGGGAGAACAAUAGCUGUGCCAUUCAACUUUUCUAUUCUUCAAUGGGCUACUGGUACUCGUCAAGUUCUCAAUAAUGCUCAACUACCAACUGGAGUCUCCUUUUACAACAUUUAUGGGACAUGUUUUGACACACCAUUUGAUGUUUGGUAUGAAACUAAACCAUCUAAGAAUGUUGUGAUAAGUCAAAAUUUGUGAUAAACCAGCUUCACGUUUGUGUCAAAAUGUGAGACGUGAAAAGCUAUAACCUAUGAUUGAUCAAACAUGAUAUAUCUUAGGUGACAGCUUAAUGCAUUACGUGCAAUCAUGAACUUUCACACUAUCAAUUCUUUUUUAAUGAUUAGAACUACUAUGAUGAGGAUCAGAGAAAGGUUCAGAGCAGGAAGUUAUAACUAUCUUACUGUAUUCUGUAAAUAUUAUAUGCAGUUACCAGUUCAGUGAUGUUGUCUGCUUGAGAAUGUUUUGAGUUUCUCUGGUAAAGCGUGGUCUUUGUGUUGUUCAUUCCUUCUGGAAUCAGAUCGGUAGGUGUAUGGAAAUUCUGCUUUACUCAAGGUCUAGAUAAAUCCUUCUCCUUCUAGGCCAAAUCUUAAGAAUAUCAGAGUUGCAGAAGAGAUUGAAGGGCUGCAUUGGCGAUAGCAUUUCCCCUGUUAUUAUCCAAAUGCGCCCAUUAAUCUGAAGAUUGAUUGUCACCCUUAAUUGUAUCAGUAAUUUAUUUCCACCCCCAUAAGCUUUUGCUGAAACCUGAUUGGGCAGUUUGACUUACGAUCAGUACGUCUCUUACGAUCAGUACGUCUCCUUGGAAAAUCCUAGUCACUAACAAAUCAUUGGUCUUUAAAAUUGGAGGCUCUUUGAUCUUCCAAUUAACUACUAAAACUGUGAAAAAAUAUCCUUAUAUAUGUGCACAUCAUGUAAUCCAGGAUGACCAUCAAAUUCUUCUGACUUAAUAUAUCUAACUAGAUUUAUAAUAUUAGAUAGAUGUAUCAUUAUUAAAUCAAAAUUAUGCAACUAUUUUUUUUUUGUCUUUAAAUUGUAAGCAGAUCUGACAUAUAUGGUUCAAUGCAGCUAUGGCUCGGAAACUUCUCCAAUCAAUGACUUGUCUGACUUAUGCCACACAAUUGUGAGUGAUAUGAUAUCUUUUUAUGUCAUUGUGCUACUAGAGUACCCUAAAAUGGAAUAUUAUAGUUUACAGUGACCUGCAUUGCGCAUCUGGUAAUUGUAAGACUUUGCUAAAAUAUAGCAAGUUAUAAUACCUGCCUUUUCUGCUCAUAGGAGCAGUUUCUGAUUCCCUUUCUUACAUUCAUUGGCACCUUUGCACCUUCGUAAAAGUUUGGCUAACACUUAAUGUUUCUAUAUUCCAUUAUAACAUAUAUUUCUUGUAUUUUUUGUUUGUUUCAGCCUGAGUAUUCUUAUGUGGAUGGAGAUGAAACUGUUCCCGCUGAAUCAGCAAAGGUGCUAUUUCCAUUUUCCAGCAUUUCAUUUUAUGAUCAUGUUUACCUGGAAUUAUCUGAGGAUGAUCUCCAUAAUAAUCUUGGGACUGAUCUAUAAAAUGUUUGGUGUCAAAACCUUUGCAUAGGGAGCCUAAAUCCUGAUUGAUGAAUAGAAAAAGACAAUACAAUAUUGAAGCUUCUUUGGCAAAAAUAAAAAAUAAAAUAGAGGAGAAUCAAUGACAGCUCUAGCUGAUAGAUCUAUAGAUUUGCUUUCUGAAAAGAGGAAUAUAGAUGGAUGCAAGCAAUGUUUUUAUCAUUGCCAUUCCUAUUGUUUCAAUCUCCUGGCGGAUGUUGUUAUGUUCUGAAUUUCACCAAACUCAACUAUGCCCAUCUCCUAUUGUUAAGGAGAGUCCAUUACUGGCCAAUUUUUUCUGUGCGUUUUGAUUGCCCAACAUUUUCUACUAUUUUCAUGUAUGGUCACAUCUAUGCGAAAAUAUGGAAUGUAUUGGCCAAUGUCUGAAGGAAGAAAAUGAUGUUAGAUAAAAUUUGAGAUUGCUAUAGUUCAUGAGCCUCAGUAUCAAGGCAUGGAAAGCAUUUAUGAAGUUCUUGAGCUUUCUCUUUGAAUACUACUAGUAUCCCUGCACUUGACCCGAUGCUUAUCAUGUUCUUUCUUAUCCAUCCCACAGGCAGAUGGAUUUGCAGCAAUAGCAAGAGUAGGAGUUGCUGCUCGUCAUCGGGAUCUCUUACGGGACAAAAAGGUAUUCCAUCUCAUCCAGAAGUGGUUAGGAGUGAGCCCAAAACAUUCAAGAACUUCCAGAGUGACGAAUAUUUCAGCAAAUUAACACCCCUCUGUAAGAAACUCUCUUUUGCAUGAAAAUGGUAUGUUUCAUAGAAUCAAAACUAAUCAAACAGAUUUUCUUGCUAAAACUAACCGGGACUGGCGAUCCCUUUACCUGAAAAUUCAUGAUUUGAAUAAUUCAUACUUUAUAACUGUGAAAAAUUACUUCACUUGAUCUUGUAAAUCAUAUUACAAAGAUUAUAGCUAUAGUAGCUGUGUUGUUUGGAUUUGUAACAUUUUCCCAAAUGUGGGUUAUGCAAUGUAUACUAUAUACUUCAAACUGAUAAAAAAUUGUUGCUCUUUUUGUUUUUGGAUUUCAUUCAGCUCUUGUUAUGAAAAAUUUUCAGUAACAUGGCUUAUCAAGGGAAGAUUGAUGCAUUCCCUGCUAGGGUUUUGAGACUCACACCCCUAAGUGACAAACCCUCCCCUAUUUUCAAGUGGGUUGUGUUAUACUAUGUAUGUUAAGCCAUUUAUUAAAGGAAAAAGCUUAUUUCUUUGAGAAGGAGGCAGUAACAAGUGCCAUAUUAAUACUAAACACUGACAAUAACCAUCUAUGCUUCUUUUGCUAUUGGUUUUAGAGCUUUGGGCCGGGUCCUUUCUCACUGCAUCAGCUCAACAACAGCAACCCCACCCCCACCCAAAAAGAGGGUAAAUUGUAGUGUAAAAAACAGAAAAGAGGAGAUAAAGCUAGAAAAAGUGGUAGAAAAUAGUCCUAAAACAAGCCAAAAAACACCAAGUGGGUGCAUGGGCAGCACAGUGAAAAGGGGCACAAAUACAGAUGAGGACGAAGAUCAACUUAGGCCAAAUGGAACUGGGGGGAGGAAUGUACAUGGGGAGAUGAAACUGAAGAAGAGGGGUUGAAGGGUGGCGGUGGGGUAGUCCAAGUCAAAAGAAAAAGUUUGAAUCCCAAACACUCUUGGCCUUGGCAUUGGGGCUUAAAAUCUACUAAAGGAAAAGACUAAAAGAGAGAGAUAGGGAGAGAAGGAGAUGAGCAUUCCAAGGGCCGCCUUGUUAGCUUGUGGGGAGGAUUCCAUUUCACAUAUUUGGACACACUCACACUCACCCAUCUCCCGUGCAUUUUUUAAUCUCUCUCUCUCCCUCUCUCCCUUGCAGGUUUCAAACUACUCAUACACUAAUAUAUUUUGCGAUUUUUCACAUUAAUUAAUACCGGUAAAUGAGCGUGAAUUAUAUUAAUAUUACACGCAAGGAAAAAUUAAAAUCCUUACAACAAUAAGUUAAUUUUUAUUCUUAUUUUUAAUCCAAACAUAAUAAUAAAUGAAAUCUAAAAUGAUUUCUUAUCGAUGCAUUAUAAAAACUUAGAUUUGUAUUUCUUAAAGCAUUAAUACAAUUUUUGAAUUCAAAUUUUUCCUUGACAUAUCACAAAUUUUUUUUUCGUAAUUCCGACAUUAUCCCAUUUGAAACUAUUGUAUUGAAUUCGACUGUUAGACAAGAAAAUAAAUAAUAUUAUUAACAAAUAGAUAUAAAAAUCAAUAGUAUGUUGCUAAAUUUUUAAAAUUUUCUAAUUCCAAGAAUCUGAAAAGCUAUGAAACAAAGUUUUGCACCCUCGUAUUAUUGGUACGUAAUCAAUUUUUUUAUAUCCCAUAGUAUCGUUAUUCGUACUUAGUAGUCAUAUUUUUAAUUUUUCAUAUGCCAAUAACUUUUUUUGUCAUAAUUUUUGUACUUGUUGUCAAUUCUUGUGUAUGCUCAUUUGUAUUUUUUAUGUCUAAAAUUAAAUUGGACGGUAGCAUUCAACAUGAAUAAAAAUAGAGCAAAAGCUAAACCCAAAAUCCAUUUUAAUUAACUACUAAUUAUUUUCUAAUGUAGAUGAACUAAAAGUCACAAACGUAAUUACAAUAAGAACAAAAACGGGAUAUAUACAGAGAGGAAGAGAAGGCAUGGAUUGGGAUUGGACCCAUCUUCAUUUUGUUGUAGUAUGUAAUAAAAUAAGGCAACCUUUCUUGGAAAUCAGAGCGGAGAGGGAGGGGGAGGGGGGCUUGCGUGGAUAAUGAUGAAAUACGUAUAGAAGGAGAGAGAAGGGGGGGGGGGGAGAGAGAGAGAGGUGUGAUUCUGUGUGAAUGAUGAAAAUGAAAUAUUGGAAUUCAUUCCAAGGAGGCACGGGUGCUCCGCUGAUUUCUCCAAGGCAAUCCCAGUUCCCACUGCCUUCUUCUCUCCCCUCCUCUCUCUCUCUCUCUCUCUCUCCCUUUGAAUAUUUGGCCUCUUUUCUUGUGCUUCAUAUGACUCCUCCUCCACCUUCCUCUUUUUAUUCUUCUCAUCCUCUCUUUGCAUGCAUAUCCCUACUUUGUUUUAUAUAUAUAUAUAUAUAUAUAUAUAUAUACUAGUUUUUAUAUGUGGUAUGUGAUGUUCAUGAUGGACCCCCAUUGAGUUUGAGGUUUCUUGUUUAUUGGAAAAUAAAAUAAUAUUUUGUUGGUAAGUAUGUAGAUUUAGGUGGUGUUUAUUUAUUUAUUUAUUUUUUAAUUAUAUUUAUUGAUAUCAAUAAGUUAUUUUUAAUUGAGUAUUUAAUUUUUUUUAUUUGACCAAAAAAUAAACACCACAAGGGUGAGAAGUUAAAAGAUGAAUGCAUGAUUUUGAAAGUUUUUAUUUUUAAUUAAAUGUGAAAUACCUUUAUCAUAAAUUAAAGAAAUAUUGUGAAAUUAAUAUUGUCUUUACUUCUAUAUAUUAUUAAAUUGUUUGUAAAAUCAUAAUUAGCUUAGUGCAACACCUUUGUUAAAUAUGAAGUUUUUGUUUAUUGAAAAAAGUGUCACGAGUCAAUUGACAUCCAUUUUGAAUUAGGAAAAAAAAAAAGGUAGGGGGAAAAAUGAAUGUUAAAAAUUGUUUUUGAAUACGGAAAUAAUGGAAACAUGUCUUUUUUUUUUUUUAAGUAUAAUAUGUGAAAGCAAUAAGUCUUAUUUAAUUGGUUUGUUGUCAAGGUGAAAACAAAAUUCAAAAACAAUAAAACCAACUACUUGGUGUUUUCUAUAUUAGUGAAAGGUUUUAUGCAUACAAUUUAUAUCUAUUUCUCGAUGUAAGAGAACUCGUGGUGGCAAAAUAAGUCUUUUUUUUUUUUUUUUCCAAAAAGUUAAAGAUGAGUUAUUCAACCCUUAUUUUAUUUAGAUUACAUUUUAUAGUAAUUUUAAGAAACAUUUUUAAUAUUUAAAAUUAUCAAAAUUUUUAAGUAUUAGAGAUUAAAAAAACUUCCUAAAAUUACUUUUAAAUAAAAUCUUAUUAAAUUAAUGUUUGAAAAUGAUUCUCAAAAAUUAUAUAUAUUUGUUUUGUAGGGCUUUCGCUAAGAUUACUCCUAUUAGAAAUAUUUUUAUAAAAUAAUAGUUAAUGUUUAAAUAUAAAUAAUUUUUUAUCUAUAUGUUAUCUAAUAAUUAAGCUUUUAGAUCACUUGAUAACUUAAGAUGAUAUUAAAGUUUUGUUUAGCUUUUUUUAUUUAUUAAUUUCACAUGCAAGCUCAAAGAAGAAUGAUAAUGGAGUGAGUUUUUUGGUUACUAGCUUGCCCUUUUGGGAUAGAUUUGAGAAAAACUUAAAUGAGUUAUAAGUGAGUUUGGGAAUUUAUUUUUUAAAAUUAAAGUUGAGUUCAAGACAUGUUUGGGUGUUACCUUAUUACAUUCCGUCUUGCCGAAAUUAUAUAUAAAAAUUAAAUAAAAACAAUUUAAUUUAAUUUUUAUUUUAAAAAUGUUUUUUUAAAUAUUAAAAAAGUUAAAUAAAGGUAGGGUAGGGCAGGAUAAGACAAAUAUGAGAAAUUGUUUGCACAUCCUGGUUUUAUUUAUUUAUUUAUAUUAAAAAGGGAUAAGAAUUGAUUUAAAUAUUUGAGGCCCUUAAAUUGGCAAUGUUGUGACCCUUAAGCUCAAAGAGAAAGUUUGUGAGGUAGAAUGAGGUGAUAAUAUAAGAAUAAUUUUUCACAUUUAUUGUUAAUCCUGUCACUAAUGAUAUAGUAAGCAUUAGUCCAAGGAUGAUUUAAGUGAUUAUUUAGAUUUUUAAAUUAAUUUUUUAAACAUGGUCAAGAAUUUUUAGAAGAAAAAUAUUAAACAAUGUUGAAUUGUGAAAUCUGAAUCGAUUUUGUUGUGUUUCUCGUGGAAUGCUGGGGUCAAGUUCUCUAUUGAGCUUGCGAGGAUCGAGUUGUCCAAUUAGUUCGUGAGGUUGAAGGAGGUAGCACCCUUUCGAGAGGUUUUUUUUUUCUUUUUUAAUAUGAUGAAUGAUGAAUUUGUCCUUAUCAUAUAUAUAUAGUCUUUUUAUAUUUUAUGGCUUUAUUCUUAAGAGAGCGUAAUCAUAAUUAAGAGAUAUUUUAGAGUUUUAUCAUUAUAUAUACUAUUUCUUUUUCCUUUGAUUAGUGUAUUAUUGAGUGUUGAUGCACUUUAUUAACAUAGGGAUCAUAUUUAUCAUCGAAUAAAAUAUCAUGUUUUCUUAAUUUUUUGUCCGUAUGUAUACGUGGCUUUGACUAAUCCAAAAUUUUAAAACUAUUUCUAACCAUUUUGGAAUCACUCUAAAAUACAAUUGAUCUAAGCUUAACAAUUCCUAAUGUAUUUGUUUCUUCAAAGGUUUGGACCUUUCUAGCUUACUUUUUAUAAUUUAUUAAUUUUUGAGUUAGUUUUCCUUUUUUAAUAUAACUAUUUUCUAAAAUGCAUAUUUGAUCAUACCCUUACAUUAUAUAUUCCAAACUAAUUGGGAGAGUACCAAACUUUGACAAAACCUAAUUAUAUGAUUUAAUAUUAAAAAAAUUUCAUCAUUUAUUAUUACUUUGGGUGAUGGUUGAGAGCUUAUGGAUUCAUAUUAGGCUUGAACUUGAUACAAGGAUCAAUCAAUCAUGGCCCUUACUUGGUUGAAAUUAUUAUUGCAUAUAAUAUAAUUAAAAGUCAUCAAAUCCUUUUUCAAUGAUCCAAUCACCUAGCUAGCAUUCAACUAAAUCCCAUGUUAGAGUGGUAGAUCCACUUAAUAUGGUUGGUGUAGGCACCCAUUUGACCUUGACUACCCCUCUUGCUCAUUUAGUAAUGUGAUUGCUACUUUCUUUUGGUACACACAAACUAGACAGCAUUCACCAACUUUCUUCCAUCCAUGUUGGCUAGUAUCUUCAUGGCAAAGGUAUCUUGACUAGGGUUUCCAAAUUGCUAUUUCUCAAUUUUCUUUUGAUACACACAUCUUUAUAAUAUUCCCCAUUUUGAAACAUUUUUGGGUUUUUGCAUAAGUAGGUUUAUUUCUAGACAAGUAUGUUAAUUAGUUCUUUUUAUUGCUCGAUCUUGAUUAUAACAUUACAUAAUUUUGUUUUUUCAAAUAAUAAUAAUUGAUAUAAUUUGAAUUAUAAUAUAUUUUAUAUUUUAUAUAUUAUUUUAAAAUUAUAGCCAUAUUAUAUGUCAUAUCUCAAUAUUAUUGGUAGCAACUUUAUUUUAAUUUGAUCAAUUAUAAUUUUAUGAUCAAAUGGUAUUAAAUAAUGUAUGUUUUUUAAUAAUAUCAGAUUAGAGAUAGGAAAAUGUCAUUAUCGUAAAAGAAGCAAAAGAAACAAAAGUUAAGACAAAUAAAAAUAAAAUAUUUAAAAAUUAAAUUAAAAUAUUUUUUAUAAAAAUAAAACAAUUAAAAUAUUACAUAUUAUUAAGCUUGGUUUUUACUCUCCCUAGAGCAGUGAGUGCAGUGUUGGUCUCCCCAAGGCACACCUGUUGGCCACUAAGCUCUUAAAUAAAUGGACCGACCAACUGCCACGUGGCGGUCACAUUUCAUGAACCUCCCUUCAUUUCGGCAUUUCAUCUUGCUUGUUAUCCGGUUUCCUGUCCACUCUAUCGACCCUACCAAAGCCCUAUGUAUACUAUUUGUGUUUCUAAUUUAUUUAAUAAUGAAUUACUUAAAAAUUGAAAUCUUGGGCUAAAAAAAAAAUGGAAAAUUAAAGUGGGUUUUGGAGAUAGAGGAAAAUUUUAAGAUUAAAAGUAAAAAAAAUGUGGCUAAAGUUUAAAAUAUUAAUAAAGAUAUGAAAAUUAUGAAUUAAAUGUGAAUAAGUAUGAAUUAGGAAAAAAAUGGUAAUAGUGAAAGAUAAAACCUCCUAUGUUUGAAAAAAAAUAUAAUAUAGGUCUUGUUUGACAAUUAUUUUCGAGAAUAGUUUUGAAAAAUAGUUUUUGAAAAUAGUUUUAUGAUAUUUUGUAAAAUAAAAAUUUGUUUGAAAAUUUGAAAUGUUUUUAACAUAUUUUUAAAUAUAUUUUAAAAAUGUUUUUUAUGAAUUAGGAAAAAAAAAGGUAAUAGUCAAAGAUGAAACCUCCUAUGUUUGAAACAAAGGGUAAUAUACUUCUAGUUUGGUAACUUUUUAAAAAAUCAUUCGAUGAUGCUUUGUAGAAUAAAAGUCGAUUUGAAAACCCAAAAUAUUUUUAAAUAUAUUUUAAAAAUAAUUUUUAUGUCUAGUGCUCCAUUUUUAAUCACUUUAUAUGUUUGUAUAAUUAUUUUUUAAAACAACCUCUAAAAAAAUUGAAAACAAUUGAAAAUAACUAAAAAAUCAUAUCAUCUUAAAACACCCUAUUUUUAGUGUUUAAGAACAAAAAAAAAAAAAAAAAAAAACAGUUUUUUGAUUAUCAAACAUAUUUUUUUGUUUUUUAUUUAUUUAUUUUGGAGAAUAGAAAACAAACAACUUUGUAAUGAUCCUAUUUGAAUCAAUUUUCCAGAUGUCAAAAACUUUUCUUUUUUAAAACCUUAUAUGCAUGUAUGAUAAUUUUGUUAAAAAACUUAGUGUUUAAUAUGAAAAAUAAUAUUGUUAUUUUUUUAUUUGAUAAAAUUUUUAUGAUAUCAAUAUAUUUCUCCAAAAAUUGAAACUUUGACUUUACCUUCAACUUCUAAUCGAAGUGAAUGGAUAAAAAGCUACUCUAAAAAAUAAUGACGUAAUAUUAAACCAAAGCAAAAGCUUGUCUUUUGAAAUUCACAAGACAAGUCAUGAAUCGAGUGUUUGAUUCCUACUAUUCAAUGUAGCUAAAAAUAUCCACACACAAUAUUGGGCACUGCACCAACAAGGAAGAUGGACUCAUGGAGGCCAUUUUCAUGAAGGAAUUCACCAAAAAAAAAAAAAAAAAGACCCAUUUGCUACCUUUCUUCUAUUCAAUAUCUUUGUUGAUCAGAUUAACAUUGUCCAUUAAUAUCAGUUAUAUAUGACUCUUGUAAUUCUUCAAUGUCCAUUUUCCUAUCUUUUCCCACAUUUUCUUUAGAAUCAAAGGUAAAAACAGUCCUCCCCCACCAAUCCUUUUGCUCAAAACUUUCAACCAUUUUCCAUAAAUUAAGCAAUUCCACGGACAUGGAAUGAAUAGAAAGGCCCAUUGUUUCUUUGAGAGUAAUACUUGGCAGUUGAGAUAAAUAUUAUAAAUUACUUGUUCCUUGUUCACUGUUCACUGUUCAAUGAUCUGCAUAUGCAUAUGGGCUUGAAUUAUAACACAUAUCAGCUGCCAAAUUUGACAGCAUGAAUACGCUGUGCAUGCAGGUGAGGAAAAUUAUAAGUACAACUAAGACCAUAUAUAUUGUCAUAUAUAUAUAUAUAUAUAUAUAUAGUAUUAGGCCCUGAGAAAUACUCUGAUCUCCUUUGGUAGCUCAGAGCUCCCAUCAUGGUGGUGGACCCCUAGAGUUACAAGAAUGUGGACUCAAUGCCCUACAUUAUUUGGUAAUCAUAAUGCAUGGGCUAAUAGUGCACUGCAUGGGCUCCAUGCAUGCAUAUCACUCUCCCCUGGUUCACGAGCCAAUAGUUUCAUCACAGACUACCAAUAGAAUUUACAGACUACUCUAUGUAUUAGAUGAGCUCUCCAUAUGCCUCGCUCCAUGAGUAUAAUGUGUAGCAUCUUAUAUCUAUCAAAACUAUCGAUUUAAUUCAAAAGCUUAUAUAUCAUCAUUAUGAAUAGUAUCAAACUGAUUAAUACAAAUAUUGAAUAAAACCCUAUUAUCAUUAUAUUAAAUUGUGAGUGGAUUAGUGACAUUUAGAACCCUAAUAAUCUUACAACCAUUUUAAGGAUGAGGGCUCCGCACUUCUCAAUCUGAUUUAUUGAUUUAUGCAAGUAUUAGUGAACCAAAAGGAAACAGAUUUUGUUUAAGUGAAUUAAUUAACCUUAUUUUUAAUUAAUGAUUUAUAAUUAAAUACAGCUCUUAAAUAUGAAAUCAAAAGAUGACUCUCUUACCAUGUUAUGAAGAUGUGGAAUUAAGAAGAAAAAAAUGUGAUGAACACAUGGCAAUCAUGCCCAUGAACAGAGUGGCAUCCAUGCAGUGACCAAGUUUUGAAAACUACUUUAAUAUUAAUAUCUAUAUAUUAAUUUUAUAUGUCUUCUAUGGUUGAGGUGGGCAUGCGCAGAAGCCACAGGGCCUCACAAUAAGUGCUGCUGCAAGGCAGUAAAUUUUUUUUAUUUUUAACAAAAGCCAUACAUGCAUCAUCUAUGAGACAUCCCCACAUAUAAUAUUUAGUACUAUUAGGUGGGUAGAGUAAUUUGUGAAGAACCCUAGAAAAUGGUUGCUAUGGUCAAAAGUCAUAACCCACCCAACACACCUUUAAAACUCUAAGAUCUCUCUCUCUCUCUCUAAAGAAGAGAAGAGAGGGCUAAGCAAGGGCAUGAUUAUGAUUAGAUUACCGAGAGCAUUUAUUUUUACAGUGGAGCAGGCUUUUAAUAAUAAUAAUAGUAUAUAUAUAAAUAUAGAUAUAGAUAAAGAAAACCAGUGAAGCUAUAGCCAUGUGUUUUACCAUGUUUGAUUCCUUUCUUGACGGUCAAACUUACAGUGAGGUUUUGCACCCCUCGAGACCAACUUUCUCCAUAAAAUAUUCAACCCCAUGAAUGAGUCCAUGACAAACAAUAGUGUAGAGCCAUUAAACAAGGGAAAAACCUCACAUUGACAAAAGCUUUUUUGGUUGUUAUGCAUGAAUAAUUCCAUUUGGAUCCUUGGGGGAGAGAGAAAGAGAGAGAUGUGAGAUCAUUAGAUUUUCUUCCAAUCUGUCCCUUAAUAUAUUGAGAAUGAAAUAAACCCUUAAACCCGGAAGACAAGGGUUAGUGUCUUCAUAUAGGGGUGCAAGGAGCAAACCCAUCUCCAUAUUUUUUUCACCUUUUUAUUUGGAAGUGUUAUUAGUGUGUGAGUGAAGGAUUCUCACUUUGCAUUGUUGAGAAAAAUAAUGAAUAAAAGUGUCAGUCAUGCAUGAAUUAUUGUUAUGUGUACAGUACUGCAGUGAGGGAGAGAGGGGGCUAAAGAAAAGGUGUUUGGAGAGAGAGAGAGAGAGAGAGGGAGAGAGACUCCCGUUUGCAGCGGGGGAGCAGUUUGAUGAUUAGGACUAAGGGAUAAUAGUAAAAUAAUGGUGAUCAUGGAUGGAUGGAAUGUGACAAAGUUAUGGGUGUUCAAAGGGCAGACCCCAGGCUGAGGGGUUUAUAGAGAGAGAGAUGCCAAUGAAAAGGGGUUGGUUAGGGGAGUGGUAGGAGCAGAUUACUGACAUGAAAUGACUUGUGUCCAAAUGGGUAUGAAUAAAUGGGUGUGGAGAGGGGGCUGCGUGUGGGUUUUUUGUCACACCUUGUCAGAUAUCAUCUUCUACAGGUGUUCUACACCAAAUAGUUUCACACACAAGCAAAUAAAAUAUUAUACAACUUGUAUGAAAAUUUUAAAAUAUAACGAAUUACAUUACGAAAAAAUUUCGACUGUAAAAAAUAUCAUUCCAAAUAGAUAAGGGUAUGAAACCAAAAUUAUGAUUCAAAUAAGAGCAUGAAAAUUCUAAUUAACCUAGAUAUUAUGAUGUCCAAAAGUUAUAAAAAAUAUGAUCUAAAUGUGAAAAAUUAAAUUAGGUAUGAAAAUUGAAUCUUAGAUAUUGAAAAGUUACAGACAAAUAUAAUUUGAAUAAAAAAAAGAUUAAUGAGGGUAUAUAUGAAAAAUCUAACCAAGACAUAAAGAGGGUAUGGUACCAAAAAGCUGCUUAGCAGGAGCAUAGUCCAACCCUAUGAAUAAAGUAUUUUUAUACUAUAUGUUUUUAAUAAGUGUAAAAGCCAAUUUGAACUCAAAGUAGAAUCAAGGAAAUCUUUGAAGUCCAAAGGGGGAAUACAUAGAGUUUGUUUUAGGUUUACGAAACCACAUGCUCAUAGGCUAUGACCCAUGUGUUAACCCUCGCAGCCUCAUAAAAAUAUAUAAUUUAACUAUCAGUGACCAUGAAGAUAAGCUCCAGUUCCCUCUCCCCCCCCUGCCCAGCACACCCCUCCCCCUUCUCUAUUUUUUGGAUGAAAUCAAAAAAGCUUUUAAAAAAUGAAACUAUCUCUAUUUUUGGAUGAAAUAAAAAAAGCUUAUAAAAAAUAAAACUAUCUACAAUAGUACAAUCGCCUAGAUUCAAAGUCUUAUUGCUCCUCGUGCACUUCUCUUUGUUGUUAUUAUUAUUAUUAUACUUUUUUUUCUAGGCAGUGCUACUGAGAUUUUUCCUUUAGGAUUGUGAUUUGGGCACCUUAAUGAUGGAAGAAUUUGGGGUUGGAGAUCCAACUGCCCUUAAAUUUGAGGAGUGCCCAGUUGAUGAUUCAUAUGAGAGAGAGGGAGAGGUUAUAUAAAUCUUCAUUUUGCUUUGGAAGAAAUGAUUUCUCUCCGUUUUUUUCCCUUGACCUUUCCUCUUCUUCCUUCUCUGAUGGUCUCCUCUCUUCUCAACUUCAUGCAUGAAUGAUUCUUCUUUUCCGCUUCUUCUGCCUCUUCUUCUUCUUUUUCUGUUUUUCUCAAUCUUGACUGCAGUCUAACACUUUGGUUUUUUGCUUACAAUAAUGGCUUCCAUGAACAACUGGUUGGGUUUCUCUUUGUCCCCUCGAGAACUUCCACCACAGCCUGAAAAUCACUCACAGAACAGUGUCUCUAGACUUGGUUUCAACUCUGAUGAAAUCUCUGGGACUGAUGUGUCAGGUGAGUGUUUUGAUCUCACUUCAGAUUCCACUGCUCCCUCUCUCAACCUCCCUCCCCCUUUUGGGAUACUUGAAGCAUUCAACAGGAAUAAUCAGCCCCAAGGUUAGUCUCAGAGCCGGCUUUUCCCACAUCUAAAAGUACUUUCAGGUUAACCAAAACCCUACCGAAAGAAAUGGAAUAAUAUCUUGUGAUUCUCUUUCCUUUUUUUUUUUCCCCUUUUUGUUCUUCCUUUUUUGCAGAUUGGAACAUGAAGGGUUUGGGCAUGAAUUCAGAUACUAACUACAAAACCACCACUUCUGAGCUCUCCAUGCUCAUGGGUAGUUCAUGCAGUAGUCAUCAUAACCUCGAAAACCAAGAACCCAAACUUGAAAAUUUCCUGGGCUGCCGCUCUUUUGCUGAUCAUGAGCAGAAACUUCAAGGGUGUAACUCCAUUGCAGCAGCAGCUUAUGAUAGCUCUGCAGACUACAUGUUCCCCAACUGCUCACUGCAGCUUCCAUCUGAGCCGGUAGACACCCCCACUCCCCGCGGUGGCGGCGGUGGAAGCACUACCGUCAACAAUAGUUCCAUUGGUUUAUCCAUGAUCAAGACAUGGCUGCGGAACCAACCUGCACCCACCCAUCAGGAUAACAACAAGAGUACUGAUACUGGGCCUGUCGGUGGAGCCGCCGCUGGGAACCUACCCAAUGCACAGACCUUAUCGUUGUCCAUGAGCACCGGCUCGCAGUCCAGCUCUCCUUUGCCUCUCCUAACAGCGAGUGCAGGUGGUGGUGGUGGGAGUGGAGGAGAGAGUUCUUCAUCAGAUAACAAGAAGGCCACCCCCCUCGAUAGCCAGACCGGUGCCAUUGAAACGGUGCCAAGGAAGUCCAUUGAUACAUUUGGACAGAGGACAUCCAUAUACCGUGGUGUAACAAGGUCUCUUUUCAAUACCCCAUUUCCACUUCCUUUCCAUAUAUUUCCUUUGUUUUGGUUUGUGAUCUCUAACAAUGAUUUCGAGUUAUAUGUAUGUAUAUGUAUCUCUACAGGCAUAGAUGGACGGGUAGAUAUGAGGCUCAUCUAUGGGACAACAGUUGCAGAAGAGAAGGACAAACUCGAAAGGGAAGGCAAGGUAUGGUAUCAUACUGCUUAUACUUCUUAAUUUAAUCACUUCAGAAUUAAAAUUUUGCUUUCCAUUUGGAUACAAAUCAAUGAUUUCUUUUGUAUUAACUCGUGUUUCUUCCUUGAUUUUCUUAUGUUCUGAUGUGGGCCUUCCUCAACCACCCUCACAGUUUAUUUAGGUUAGUAGAAAAGGAGGGUUGGUUCCUUUAUGCCUUUCCAAUUUGUUUUCUCUUUUUAUUCUUUUAUCAAACCUAUAUUUCCGUUCAGAUUUCUUAACUACCACUGUUGUUUUCUUUGUUUUUGUUUUUGUUUUUCCCAUAGGUGGUUAUGACAAAGAAGAAAAGGCAGCUAGGGCUUACGAUUUAGCAGCACUGAAGUAUUGGGGUACCACCACCACAACAAAUUUCCCUGUAAGCUUCACCUUUGUCCCCUUUCAAAAAUGAAUAAAAUCAUUCAUAAUGCAGCAACUUUGCCAUUAGGGGUUUUCAUUAUUUUGAUGAAUGAAAUACAUUGGACAACCUAAUUAAGGUGGCAUUGACAUGCAAGUGUUUCAUGUAAAGGUAAUAGGGAAAGUGUUGUAAAGUAUUAUAAUAUGCAAGGUGCACAUACUGUAAUCUCUAGUGCUUCUAAAAGGUGUCCCCAUUAUCAGGGAUGUUGUUGAUCUUUUUUUCGGUUUUUCUUUGAAUAAAUGUCUUCAGAUUAGCAACUAUGAAAAAGAGAUAGAGGAGAUGAAGCACAUGACAAGGCAGGAGUACGUAGCAUCUCUGCGAAGGUACUUAAUCUAAAAUAUUUGAUGAGGAAAAGAGAUUACUGUUAAUGAAAGAACUAGUAUGCAGUGUAUAAUAUUUUUGUUCUUCUUUCAGGAAGAGUAGCGGGUUUUCUCGUGGAGCAUCCAUAUAUAGAGGAGUGACCAGGUGAAUUAAUACUUUGAGAAAAUGCAAUUAAUAUCUACAUUUUUCUCUUUCAACUUGAUCUUCUUUCUGCAUUUUUCUGAAAAGGCUCAUUGGAUAUUAUCAAUGUUCACUAAAUUUGUACAAGACCAUGGUUUUCAACUGCUCCUUCUUAGUUUCUUCUGAGACAGUUUUGAUAACAUCUACAUUGGAGAUAAUAGCAGACAUUAAAAAUAAUGAUUUCAAUCUUAAACCUUAGUUUGAAGGAAUCCAUAAACUACACAAUGAUUUCUUUCCCCACAUCUAUCUACAUAUCAGCCAGUGCUCUAGCCUCUAGUAAUUGAUAGCUAGGGUUCUAUCCCAUAUAUGACUAGAUUGAGAUGAUCGAGCUAGGACUGGAUCAAGGUAAUUAAGAAACACAUCAUUGUCAUUUUGAGGUGUUCCAGUACUCUUUCAGUUGGUAAACAAUAAUUUGAUAUGCUUGAGAGAUUGGACAAUCUAGGAAGAAGCCCUAUGGGUGGUUCAUCAACCUGGGUGAAUUUAUAUUAGACUGUUAGAUCAAUUGUCAUGUCUACAACUCUUUUGAGUUUAUUCAUUACUCGGCUUGUUAAGUUACUGAUCGCAUUGCGAUGUUGGUAAUGAGAUGGAAAAACUUUGUAACAUUUUAAUCUAAUGAUGUUUAGCUGUGUGAUUUAAUGUAUUCUUUGCUUUAUGAAUUGAAAGUUAAUUCCUUGCUGUGUAGGACCAAACUUAUUCUAGCCGUCUCUCUUACACAGUUGUAUGCUGAGUUUUUGUUUACCUGGAAUGACCAACGAGCAUGGCCCUACAAUGUUUUGUUGCCAUGAAUUAUUGGUUUAUAUCAUCAUGUAGAAAAGAAGUGUGGCCAGCCCCUGUCCAUAUUAUGAUGCUCAAUUCUAACACCCACAUGUCUUAACAUUUUUUCAAGACAUUGAGAGCUUUGUCUUACCAUUUGUAAUUUUGUAAUGCAAUGUUGUUACAGACACCAUCAGCAUGGGAGAUGGCAGGCAAGGAUUGGAAGAGUCGCAGGCAACAAAGAUCUUUACUUGGGAACUUUCAGUGAGUAUAUCUAUACUUCAAUAUCCCCAUCUUCAAAAAUGACAAAGACCUUUGUCAUGGAUUGUUGUUCCUUUUUCUUUUUUGCAGGCACCCAAGAGGAAGCAGCAGAGGCCUAUGACAUUGCUGCCAUUAAGUUUCGAGGAUUGAAUGCGGUGACCAACUUUGAUAUGAGUAGAUAUGAUGUUAAUAGCAUUCUAGAGAGCAGUACCUUGCCGAUUGGUGGAGCUGCAAAGCGGUUGAAAGAUGCUGAGCAGGCUGAAAUGACUAUAGAUGGACAGAGGACAGACGAUGAGAUGAGCUCACAGCUGACUGAUGGAAUCAACAACUAUGGAGCACACCACCAUGGCUGGCCUACUGUUGCAUUCCAACAAGCUCAGCCAUUUAGCAUGCACUACCCUUAUGGCCAUCAGCAGAGGGCUGUUUGGUGUAAGCAAGAGCAAGACCCUGAUGGCACACACAACUUUCAAGAUCUUCACCAACUACAAUUGGGAAACACUCACAACUUCUUCCAGCCUAAUGUUCUGCACAACCUCAUGAGCAUGGACUCUUCUUCAAUGGACCAUAGCUCAGGCUCCAAUUCAGUCAUCUAUAGCGGUGGUGGAGCCGCUGAUGGCAGCGCUGCAACUGGCGGCAGUGGCAGUGGGAGCUUCCAAGGGGUAGGUUAUGGGAACAACAUUGGCUUUGUGAUGCCCAUAAGCACCGUCAUCGCUCAUGAAGGCGGCCAUGGCCAGGGAAAUGGUGGCUUUGGAGAUAGCGAAGUGAAGGCGAUUGGUUACGACAACAUGUUUGGAUCGACAGAUCCUUACCAUGCUAGGAGCUUGUACUAUCUUUCACAGCAAUCAUCUGCAGGCAUGGUGAAGGGCAGUAGUGCAUAUGAUCAGGGGUCAGGGUGUAACAACUGGGUUCCAACUGCAGUUCCAACCCUAGCUCCAAGGACUAACAGCUUGGCAGUAUGCCAUGGAACACCUACAUUCACAGUAUGGAAUGAUACAUAAAGCUUGGAAGAAUGGAAGAAGAGAUUAGAUAUGGGGGAAGAGGUGGGUGGAGGGUGAGGGGCAGAAAAGGAUGUAUACAUCACAACUGAUCAUUUCCUAAUUUUGAUUUUUGAUUUUCCUUUCUUCCUUAUCUAUAUAUCUUCGGCAAAUGAUCUAGUAAGGAAGAUGGGCAGUUUUUUUUUUUUUUUUUUUUGUUUUUAAAAAUUUCUUUAGUUAACUUGAAUCAGGGAAAUUGUAAAAGGAUCUGACUGAGGAACAUCAAUAGCAGUUGAGAGUUGACAGGCUCUCAAUAUUUUGCUAUGAAUUUUGGGAACUUCAGAUUGGUUGAUCCUCGAAAAGUUUUAAUUAACUACACCAGGCUUUGUAAUUUUGAAUAACAGAAUGAUGAUACAAAGAAUGGAAUUUUCUCUUUUUCUCUAUGUAUAUGGUUGUAUGAUGAUAUAAACAUGUAUGCCUUUCCUAUAAAUAAUUUAUCUCUAUUUAUAUUUCUCUUUGUUGAGAGAUGGAUGCAGAAUAAGGCUAUCUUUACUUCGUAAUAAGUGAUAAGAAAAAGAAAAAAAAAAUGUUAAGAUCUUAAGGGGUAUUUGGGUUUGGGUUUGGGUUUGGGUUUGGAGGGGCUAAUGCUAAAACAGUUUGCUCCGUAUUUUUCUUGGAAAAAAGGUGGGAAAGUGGGACAAGUUUGUUCCCUAAUUUUUUUUCCUUUGAUUUUUCUAUAGAAAAUAAGAGAAAAUUUUACAAUUUUUUUCUUCGUUUUCUUCCCCACAAGCUUUUUAGGAGCACAAACCAACAUAAAAUCGUCCAUGUGUUUUCUAAGACAUAACCAGAAUUUUAUGGACAUGUCUAAAGAUAAGUUGGGUUUAGUAUUGAUAUGGUGAAUGUCAUCAUAAUUCACAUGAUUUUCUCAUGAUUUCCCAUGAGUCUAUUUAGAAGUGGGUUUAGAAUGCUUUCUUACAAAAAUUAGAUGGUUGAUUUUUUUUUUUUUUAAAAUCACUUUACAAGCGUAAAGAAUAAGUUGAAAUGAUUCCUAAACAAUUCUUUAGAAAUGAUUUUUCUAUAAAUAAUUUUUUUAUAUUAUAGAAUACAUUAUUUUAAAAACUAUUAAAAUAUUCUUUUAGUUUAUAUCUAAAAGGACUUUUCACAUUUCUCAGUGUUUUUAAGAGAAUCAACUAAUGUUUUAAAAAUCGGAUUGAAUUGAUUGGUUACUAAUCUGGGUUGGUUUGACGACCAACCUUUGAACUGACCUCAAAUCGUCGAAACCGUCAACCGAUUGAUCGAUCGAUUUACUCACUUUCCCCUUUCUCUUUUCCCACUUCGAGCCCAUUUCCAUAUUUUCUUUAUGAUUUUUAUUUUUAUUUCCUUUAUUAGUUUAUCUUCGUUAUUGUUUAUUUUAUUUUACAUUUGUUAUUUUUUAAUUUUAUGAUUUUUAAAAUUAAUGAAAAUAUUAUGAUUUUAAAUAAAUUUAUGAAAAUAUUGUGCUACUGAUAUCUUAAAUAAAAUUUUGAUUUUAAAAUAAUUUUUUGAUUUAAAAAUAAAUCUAAAAUGUUUUAAAUUUCAAUUAAAAUUUUGAUUUUAAUUUUAAUUUCUGAUUUGAAACUGAUUUUUUGAUUUUCAAAUAAAAUUUUGAUUUUUAAAUCAUAUAUAAAUUUUUUUUAUAACUAUUUUAAAAUUUUAUAAUAUAUAAAUUAUAUAUUUAUGAUAUCAUCACUUCGUUCAAUCGUAAAUCUAACUAGUGAACUAUGAAUCAAUAACUUUUUCAAUGAAUUGGGAGCUCACUUUAAUAAAACAAAAUGGAGCAUGCUCAACUUGGGUUCUCAACCAAUCUUGCACCUCUAUCUUUUUUGUUUUUGAAAGGUCUACCAAGAAGUUUCACCAGAAGAUCAUAAAGGCAACAAACAAAAGAUUUUCGUCAUUUAACAACAGGUUUGAAAUUUUCUCUAGUUUUCUUUCUAGAUCACACCACGCAAGAAAAGGUACAUAAAUUCUCUUAUUUGAUUUUAUAUGAAAUUUCAAAAGAAAAAAAGAAUUAGUUUUAAGUCUAUAUAGUUCUAAUUUUUUCUUUUUUCUUUGUUUUCCUCUCCUCUUCCUUUCUUUCCAUAAUCCCAAUCGAGCCUUCUUUCUUUCUUUCUUUCUCUCUCUCUUUUUUUCUUUCAAAACCUCCAUAAAUAAGAAAUUUAUGAUUUAGUAUCAUAUGAACUCAUGACGUGUAUGAUUAAAUUAAUUUGAAUCGUUGAACAAAAAUACAAAUAAAAAUAUACAUAAUUUAAUCAGAAAGACUUAUUUUCUUCACACAAUCACUUUUAAUUGGAUGUCAAAUUUCGAAAUGGUACAAAAAAAAGGAAAAAAAAAAUAAAUUUCAAUAUCAUAGAAAAACCCUAUUGGAAGAAACAUAUAGCAAAACUCAAACUUCAACCACUUCAAAAGUACUGGCAAUUAUAUGUACAAUCAAGUUGAUCAAAAUGAAUAUGUUGAAUAAUAUUAUCAUAUAAGUUUCAUGCAAGGACGUGGGCUUCUCUUUGAUUGAUGGGGCUGCAUGCAAAUCUAACUUCGCCAUGUACAUUAGGGUUUUUAAACUUACACCCCCACAUGCUUUGACUUCUAUCAAUACAUAUACUAAUACUAUAUGUUUGUAUCUGCAAAACUGCCUCCAACACUGAAUCCUGUGUCGGUGCAGCCGCUGGGAACCUACGUAUCGCUGUCCAUGAGCACCGGCUCGCAGUCCAGCUCUCCUUUGCCUCUCCUAACAGCGAGUGCAGGUCGUGGUGGGAGUGGAGAAGAGAGUUCUUCGUCAUAUAACAAGAAGGCCACCCCCCUGGAUAGCCAGACCAGCGCCAUUGAAACAGUGCCAAGAAAGUCCAUGGAUACAUUUGGACAGAGGAGAUCCAUAUAUCGUGGUGUAACAAGGUCUCCUUUCGAUGCUUUUUGUUUGUGAUCUCUAACAAUGAGUUAGGGUUAUAUGUAUGUAUCUCUACAGACAUAGAUAGACGGGCAGAUAUGAGGCUCAUCUAUGGGACAACAGUUGCAGAAGAGGACAAACUCGAAAGGGAAGGCAAGGAAUGGUAUCAUACUGCUUAUACUUCUUAAUUUACUCACUUUAGAAUAAAAAAUUUGCUUUCCAUUUGGAUACAAGUCAAUGAUUUCUUUUGUAUUAACUUGUGUUUCUUCCUUGACUUUCUUAUGUUCAGAUGUGGGCCUUCCUCAACCUCCCUCAGUUUAUUUAGGUUAGUAGAAAAGGAGGGUUCUUUUAUGCAUUUUGCUUUUAUCAUUCUUUUAUCAAACCUAUAUUUCUCUUCAGAUUUCUUAACUACCACUUUUGUUUUCUUUGUUUUUCCCAUAGGUGGUUGUGACAAAGAAGAAAAGGCAGCUAGGGCUUAUGAUUUAGCAGCACUGAAGUAUUAGGGUACCACUACCACAACAAAUUUCCCUGUAAGCUUCACCUUUGUCCCCUUUUAAAAAUGAAUCAAAUCAUUCAUAAUGCAGUAACUUUGAAGAUGUUUGCCAUCAGGGGUUUUCAUUAUUUUGAUGAAUGACAUACAUUGGACCGCCUAAUUAAGGCAACAUUUACAUGCAGUGUUUCAUGUAAAGGUAAUAGGGAAAGUGUUGUAAAGUAUUAUAAUAUGCAAGGUGCACAUACUGUAAUCUCUAGUGCUUCUAUGAGGUGUCCCCAUUUUCAGGGAUGUUGUUGAUUUUUUUUUUUUUCGGUUUUUCUUUGAAUAAACGUCUUCAGAUUAGCAACCAGGCAGGAGUACACUGCAUCCCUCCGAAGGUAGUUCUUCAUCUAAACAAUUUGAUGAGGAAAAGAGAUUACGACUGUUAAUGCAAGAACUAGUAUAAAGUACAUAAAUUUUUUGUUCUUCUCUCAGGAAGAGUAGCGGGUUUUCUCGUGGAGUAUCCAUAUAUAGAGGAGUGAUCAGGUGAAUUAAUACUUCAAGAAAAUGCAACCAAUAUCUACAUUUUUCUCUUCCAACUUCAUUUUCUUUCUGCAUUUCUCUCAGAAGGGCUCAGUGGAUACAAUCAAUGUCCACUAAAUAUGUACAAGACCAUAAUUUUCAUCUGAUCCUAUAUUAGUUUCUUCUGAAGCAGUUUUGAUAACAUCUACAUUGGAGAUAAUAGCAGACAAGUUAAAAACAAAGAUUUCAAUCUUAGACCCUAGUUUGAAGGGAUCCAUAAACCACACAAUGAUUUCUUUCCCCACAUCUAUCUACAUAUAUAUUAGCCAGUGGAUCAAGGUAAUUAAGAAACACAUCAUUGUCAUUUUGAGGUGUUCCAGUGCUAUUUCAGUUGGUAGACGAUAAUUUGAUAUGCUUGAGAGAUUGGGCAAUAUAGGAAGAAGCCCUAUGGAUAGUUCAUCAACAUGGGUCAGAUUAUAUUAGACUGUUAGAUCCAUCUUCAUGUCUACAACUCUUUGAGUUUAUUUAUUAAUCAGUUUGUUAAGUUGCCGACCUCAUUGGCCAUGUUGAUAACAAGAUAGAAAACCUUUCUAACAUUUUAAUCUAGUGAUGUUUAGCUUUGUGAUUUAAUUUAUUCUUGCUCUUGAUAUAUAAUGCUUUAUGAAUUCAAAGUUCCUUACUGUGUAGAGCCACACCUACUCUAGCUGUCUCUCUUACACAGUUGUAUGCUGAGUUUUUGUUUACCUGGAAUGACCAACAAGCAUGGUCCUACAAUGUUUGGUUGCCAUGAAUUAUUGGUUUAUAUCAUCAUGUAGAAAAAGAAGUGCGGCCAGUCCCUGUCCAUAUUAUGAUGCUCAAUUCUAACAUCCACAUGUCUUAACAUUUUCUUAUUUCAAGACAUUGAGAGCUUUGUCUAUUCAUUUGUAAUACAAUAUUGUUACAGACACCACCAGCAUGGGAGAUGGCAGGCAAGGAUUGGAAGAGUUGCAGGCAACAAAGAUCUUGACUUGGGAACUUUCAGUGAGUAUAUCUAUAAUUCAAUAUCCCCAUCUUCUAAAAUGACAAAGACCUUUGUAAUGGAUUGUUUUUCCUUUUUCUUUUUGCAGGCACCCAGGAGGAAGCAGCAGAGGUCUAUGACAUUGCUGCCAUUAAGUUCCAACAUUUGAAUGCGGUGACUAACUUUGACAUGAGUAGAUAUGAUGUUAAUAGCAUCCUAGAGAGCAGUACAUUGCCGAUUUUUAGCUGCGAAGUUGUUCAAAGAUGCUGAGCAGGCUGAAAUGACUACAGAUGGACAGAGGUCAGACGAUGAAAUGAGCUCACAGCUGACUGAUGGAAUCAACAACUAUGGAGCGCAUCACCAUGGCGUGCCUACUGUUGCAUUCCAACAAGCUCAGCCAUUUAGCAUGCACUACCCUUAUGGCCAUCAGCAGAGGGCUGUUUGGUGUAAGCAAGAACAAGACCCUGAUGCCACACACAGCUUUCAAGAUCUUCACCAACUACAAUUGGGAAACACUCGCAACUUCUUCCAGCCUAAUGUUCUGCACAACCUCAUGAGCAUGGACUCUUCUUCAAUGAAACAUAGCUCAGGUUCCAAUUCAGUUAUCUACAGUGGUGGUGGAGCCGCUGAUGGCAGUGCUGCAACUGGCGGCGGCAGUGGGAGCUUCCAAGGGGUUGGCUAUGGGAGCAACAUUGGCUUUGUGAUGCCAAUAAGCACAGUCAUCGCUCAUGAAAGCAGCCAUGGCCAGGGAAAUGGCAGCUUUGGAGAUAGCAAAGUGAAGGCAAUUGGUUAUGACAACAUAUUUGGAUCGACAGAUCCUUACCAUGCUAGGAGCUUGUACUAUCUCUCACAGCAAUCAUCUGCAGGCAUGGUUAAGGGCAGUAGUGCAUAUGAUCAAGGGUCAGGGUGUACCAACUGGGUUCCAGCCCUAGUUCCACUAACAACAUGGCAGUAUGCCAUGGAGCACCUGCAUUCACAGUAUGGAAUGAUACAUAAAGCUUGGAAGAAUGGAAGAAGAGAUCAGAUAUGGGGGAAGAGGUAGGUGGAGGGUGGGGGGCAGGAAAGGAUGUAUACAUCACAACUGAUCAUUUCCUAAUUUUGAUUUUUGAUUUUCCUUUCUUCCUUCUAUAUAUCUUCAGCAAAUGAUCUAGGAAGGAAGAUGGGGCUCCAUGCAAAGAUGUCGCUGACUUCUUGGAGCAAAUUCCACAUCCGCACUUUGUCAUGGUCCAACAUGAGAGAGUCGACCAUAACUAUCUUUCCUGUGCCCUCCCCCUCUAAUGCUAAUGGUUCCAAGAGUUCAGCUGCUAACAACUCUGUAUUCCCUGACUCCUUCCCGAGGGUUACUGACUAAUUACUAUUUGUACAAAUGGAUUCCUUCAUCGACCCUUUUGCUGACCUUGAGGGCAAUGUGGCAGCAUAUACAUGUUGUGGUUUGGUUAUCGUAUAUUUCCCAAGUUCCUUGCGACAUGGGGAGCUUGAUGAUAUAAUCAUAGCAGUUGAAAACUUACAAUAUACAAUACAAUGACAUGAUACAUUUUUUUAUGGAAAUCAAUACAUAUUGCGAUUUGUAUCAUAUCAUGUAUCGUAUAUCUUGAAGUGUAUCUUACAAUGCAUAUAUGAUAUACAAUAUGCGAUAUAACAAUACAACAAUACAUACAUUUUUAACUAUUUUCUAGAAUUUUUAAGAAAAAUCAAAUUAAUUUUUUUUAAAAGAAUUUAUAAUACUAAUUGUUUAAAAUGUACUAAAAGAUUAAAAAUUGAAUAUAAAAAAAAAAGAGACAAAGGUAAGAUUAAUCUUACAUGAAAAGUUGCAUUCUUGUUGUCAAAUGCUAAAUUAAAAGUCAAGUAACUAUUGUAAGAAUUUUUAUUUGAAUGGUUUGAAAUCACCAUCAUUUUCAAUGUCAACGUUCAAACCAUAUUGAAUGGUUUGAAUGUUGACAUUGAAAAUGAUGGUGAUUGGCGAAUAAAAUUUUUUUAGUUAAUAUAUUAGCUUUUUUUUAUUUUGUUUUCAAUGGGGAAGGAAUGAUGACAAACAUGAAAAAGUUGGAACUUUGAAGAUGACAAAGAAAGAUGUAUAUAUAUAUAUAUAUAUAUAUGCAUAUCAACAACACAAUAAGUGCAUAUGCCUAGUUAGAAUUUGGAAAUAAAAAUUAUAGUUAAAAAAUUUAAUAAGUUUAUUUCUAUGGAUUAUGUGAUGAAUUUCUAUAUUAAAGUCAUAUUUUGUUAAUUUGAACUAGUCAAAACACCAAUAUUCCCUUUUUUCAUAUGAUAUGAUAAGAUAUAAUUUAAUUCUUUAGAUCUUACUAUCUUCCAUAAAAGUGAUUAUAUAUUACUUUAUACUUCAUACUUCCAAUAUAUAUAUAUAACUUAUAAUACACAAUACAAAAAAAUAGAAAAACAAGACAUAAAAUGUUUUACUAGUUAACAACCAUGAGUAUAAUGGUAGGUUAACAAGGUGAUCUUCAUGUUGUGGAUCCAAGGUCCCCCCAUGGUAAUGCUAUAUAGAAAGGGUGUGUUCAUGACUGAGAAUUGCGUGUGUAAGGUUAUUGGUCCCACUUCCAUAGGAAGGAUUACCUUGCCCAAUGGCUCAUAGGGCACCCAUCAAGGCCGACCAACUAGUACAAAUUGGGUGGUAGCUCUUCCUUCAUGAGAUAUAUCUAAUCAUUUUCUAGUAAGUACAACAAAAAGAUCAAGCUACCAAGAUCAACCAAGAUUAAUUGGACUUCGAAGUUGGUGACUCUUAACAUGAUGAAGACGAGGGUCCUAAUGGGGAACCUUGACACAAUCAAGGUUGCUUCCAAAGAAGCAUAGGGUGUAAUCAAAACAUGUGGUGAUCCUUAGGUUUAAGCCAAAGAUUUUUUAUCUUAUGGUAGUCUAUUGCCUCGAGGUGUGAAUACUUUGUCUCAAGCCUUCUAGCUAGGCAAUGAGCCCACCAAAAACUAUGGCUAUUAUCACUUUAGAAGCUUCAAGUUGUGGGUUUUGAUGGGUUGUAUCGUUAUUUCUUCUUUUGCUAAACUCCUAGAGAUACUCCUUCUUUAUAAGCUUCUCCAUGAGCUUCUUCAGGCUCCUACAAUCGUCCAUCCAUUACCCUCAUUAUUCAUGGCAUUCAUAGUACCAACUCAAGUCCCGAUACUUCACAUCCCAUGGAAACGAAGCAAAUUUCACAUAUUCCUUCAUCUAUUGGGUUUCUUGCAAGAUCUUCCCAUAGAAAACAUUUAGGGUACUAUAUUCCAUCUUGGGCAUGUUCUAGCAUUUGGUUUCCAUUUGGGAUCAUUUCCUUGAUGCACUAGCCCUUUGAUUUAUUAAUCCAUCCUUAUGUUCCUAAUCCUUUCCUAUUCUCCCAACGAGCCUCCACUCCUCUCUAAUGAUAGUCAAGGCAAUGGACUUGAGGGUUGAAAUCCUCAUGUCUUCCUCUAAGUCAGCAUAGCUUCCGACUUUGGAAAAUAGUCCUUCCAGGGUUGCAAGUGUUUUGUUUGUAAGGGAGCGGUAGAGGCUAGACAUGGAUGGAAGCCCAUUCUUGAAAGCUCCUAUUGUAGCCACUACGCUACAUCCUUCUACUUAAGUGGUCUCCAAGUUAAACUGUCAUAUUGGCUUUGUACAAACUCACUACAAAUUUUUAGCAUCUUGAAUAAGAUAUCUAAGCUUUUCUUUUGCCGAGUCGAAUGCAUAUAUUGGGAAGAAAACAUGACCCCUAGUCCCUCAUUGGGGGGAAGUUUGUGUAACCAAAUUAGGGUUGAUCCCUAAAGGCUUGUUGGAAAGAUCUUGCACAAGAGUCAAUCGUUCCCUUAUUCUAGAAUCAUCAUUUGCCUGUAGUGCAUAAGGUGGUCUAACAGGUUGUCAAUUCCAUCAAACAGGUUAAAUUAAGGCAUGGUGAACUAUGAGGUAGCUUCCUCCCUCAAGAUGUCCCUAGUGAAGGUUUUGAGGUGAUGCCCCGCACAACCUAGACUAUAUUUGGUUCAAUAGCACACUCAAGGAGUGCAUAGUGUUCUUCCGUGAGCCAAAUGCUUGUUCGCCCCUUUUAAGUUUCCCUAAGGGGCCCAGAGUGGCAGCUUCCCCAAGAAACUGGAUGCUAGUUGCUCAUUGAUCUCCUCAGACAAGUGUUCAUUGGGUGAGUGGGGCCUUCGCUUGUUACCUUGUACUCUGCUAGCACUAGUCAUCAAGGGUGGAGCCACCUGGUCCUUCUGAUAUUCCUCUUAACAUCGCUCUAAGGGUGGUAUUUUCCUAGGCUAACAACUCAAUCUGAUUGGUGAGCUUUUCCAUCUGUUGUUAGGUGCACUCACUCCUGUUCUUAGCUUCACAGUCACUCAAUCACAGCCAACCAUUCUUGUCAUGAUUCUAGCAUGGGGUAGUCUUCUUGGAUUCAUCCGUUAUCACGAGUCUAAACCAUCUCUAGCUUUUAGUACAUCCCCAGAUUCCCCACAGACGACCUAUUUUCUGUCAGUACCAUUCCUCCAAUUUUACCCAGACUGGCUCUUUAGAUACUUGCAAAAUAGCAUAUCAUGAAGCCCAAAGGCCCCUGAGGGUUGCAGGGGCUCCAAUGCCAAAGUAGGAGACUGUUUAUAGACAAAGCAGUGAAAACACUGAAUUAGCUUGGAAGAGAAUUUCUUCACCUACCUUUCAUCCAUCGUUAAGUGCUCCUUUUAUAGGGGAAUUCUUAUUGCGGAAGCAAUUGGGUUGCCUGACAAUAGGGUCAGGCUUAAGGUUCCACAACAUUCGUAAUUAAUGGCCAUUAAAUGGGAAAUGAGUACCAAUGGCUUUGUGCUUCUAUAAAUGGGCUCUGGUUUAUAGGUUUGAUGGUGUGGGAGUUCAAUUUGUCUCCUAAAGUCUAUCAAACAGGAAAGCCCCUCCACAGCAGGAUAAGAAAUUAUCUCACCUGUGACCGCACCUUGUAGUAGGAUUACACAACAAACACCUCAUUCUUGGAAGCCUUCCACAAUGUCUCGUCCCCCAUAUCGCUCAGAUUGCGUUGAGUUUAUUCAUUUCAAGAAUGAAUCCGACCCUUUCAAUUCUGAUCAAAGAAAACAUUCCUGCAUCGUAUUCAGCGUCCUCCAGGUCCUUCUCCCAUCGCCCAAAGUUCUUAUGAAUUCUAACAUGAAUUUCUUAAUACCCACUUAAAUAUGUUUCAUUUUCCCCCCUUUUAAGCCUAACAAAUGGCCCUCUUUAAGAAUUCCGAUGCUAUAUACAUAUUCCCCUGAAAUUUCCAAGUAUCGGACCCACCCAUAGCAACAGUUUUUCGUAUUUCCUUCAAGCUACGAUUAGGGCAAUGCUUCAAAGUGGUGGUAGUUCAACAGAACCCUAUAAUGUCCGAAAUGGACGUCAGAAAGAAAUGCAGAAAAACAAAAUUCAUAUACGGAUUUUGACAGUAAAAUCCAGGCUUCAGAGUUUCAUUAAUUUUGCAGCGAGCCAAUUUUUGGAACUUAAAUAUGAAAAUAAAGAAAGUAGACUUACAAUCCCCAUUUUUGUUAAUAGCCUCAGACUGAAUCCGACAACGUUCUUGGGAAAAAUCUACCUCGUCUUCCGCCGAACUUCUGGGUAGCAGUUCCCUCCACCAGACAAUGGAAAAGGAUCCGAUUCCAUUUAGGCCAUGAAGGGCAUUUAAACGUCGUCGUUUUAAUGUCUAAUUUACUAUUUUUAUAUUUUCAAUCAUUAUUUGCCACAUGAAUUUAAGUUUAUAAAAAUUCACUUUUCAAAGGAAGAUAAAGCUUUGAGUUGUGCGUGUAAUGUGUAUUAAGAGCUACUACAUCAAGAAUGUAAAAGGGAAAGCGGAUAUAAUUGAAAAUAAGUCACGUAUUUUGAGUGAAUAAAAUUAUGUAUUUAUUAGAAUUUAAUGAGGGAAAAUUAUAUUUCUUUAGAAUAGGAAGUGGACUAAAAAUAAAAGAAAUUCGUUGAUAUUGUUUGUUGAUAUAAUUCUUAAGUAUCGUGGUGGUUACUCAUAAAAUUCUUGAAAAAAGUUAAAAAGAAAGAACUUGCUUUCUUAGGGAAAAAAAAAAAAAAAAACCGUAGUCUAAUGGCAAUUAUAUUUUAGUCAAUCCCUAAACACUCUUCCAAGUGAAAGCUAUCAAGUAUAACACAAAAUUCAUUGGUUUAAGACACAAGACAAAAUAUAGGUUAGGGUAACGUGGUAAAGAAAUUAAAAUUAAUAAGACAAACAUAUGCUAAUAUAAUAUGGUAAAAAAUGAAAGAAAAACUGAGUUUAAAGCCCCAAUGAUGAUCUCUAUGUCCCUUGUGAGCAUAGUGUGAUAACAUAGAAAUUCUGAAAGUUAUGGAUGAAACAAGACAUUCCAUGAUAUAACGAUAAUAAAUAAUUAAUGAGAAAUAUAUAAACAUAGGAUCCAAAACUCUAGAGGAACCUAUAUAUAGAUACACGCCCUGGGAUGAAUACUCAAUAAAAAAAUAUAUAAAUACAUUAAUCAAUUAUUCUAUUAGACCCUAACUAUGAGUAUAACACAGAGAGGGCUCAACUUUGGUCAAGAAAUACUAGACUAGAUGAUAAAAAAUAAAAUAAGACAUAUACAUAAGGUUCUAUGGCCUAACAAGGGAUCAUGCAAUAAGUAAAUAUAUGGUAAGUAGGUCAUAUGAAAUGAUGACCACCGAUCUUAUGACCACAAUUUCAGCUAUAGUUCUUUUUUAAUUGGUCUGUAUUGAUCAAUUUAUGAGAAUUGAUUUUCAUCCAAGUCCGUCAAUCAUGCUAUUCAUUUUAAAGUUAACUUUUUAGAUAUAUAAAGUACACUCUAAUUUGGUUUGAAUUUGCCAAGUGGGCUACCUAAGUCAUCUCAUGAUUUUCAAAGUGAGAUCUUCUUUCUUCAACUUAUAAAAUAUCACUCUCUUAUUGAAUGUUCUAGCCAUCUUCCUUUGAUAUGCAUGAACAUAUAGGAGAAGUCAAAUUAUUGUCCCACUGUCUUUAAACUCCACAACCAAUGAUUUAUAAUUCUUCACCCCAAUUUUUAUAUAAACUAGAUAUUGUAUUUUGAUCUUAUUUACUUUAUUUCAUUCUCCAAAUUGAUAUAGAAAUAUGAAAUUUACUUAUGAGUUAUAAAAAAUUAAAUUUUAAACUAAUUUAGAUAUGAAACUUUUUUUUUUUUUGUUAGGACGAUCAAAUCAUCCUUCUCCUUUGGGUAAUUUCAUAAAAUAAGGAUGCAUUUCUAUUUUAGAGUAAAUUUCAUUUAAUAUACAUAAAUUUAGUUAUUAAAAAAUGAAAAUAUUCCAUUUAAUUGUCAAGAAAACAAAAGAAAUAUAUAUAUAUAUAUAUAUAUAUAUAUAUAUAUAUAUAUAUAUAUAUAAUAAAUAUUUUUUUUCAAGUAUCUCAAAUAAAAAUUACUUUGAUUUUUUUCUUUCCAUAUGUUAUUACUCUAUUAUCUUUAUUUAAUUUUAUUAAUUUAGGUAGGUCAUAUAACACUAAUAAAAAAAAAGUGGGUGAGUAAAUUAAAUUUCCCACCACCUAUGUUUGUGAAGAAAAUUAUAAAUUAUUUUAAUAUCCUCUAUUGCGAGAUCCAAAGAAAUCUAUUAUACCAUAUUGAUAUAUAUAAGCUUGAAAUAAAUAUAUUGUAUCAUAAUAUUUGUCAUAAAAAAAGUAUGAAAUCUUUAAUAUUAUUUAGAAAUUAUUUUGCAUUUUAGUAAAUAUUAUUAUUAUUAUUUCGUUCAUGCCAUUUUUGAAUUUAUAAGGGAUUUCAUGCUACAAUUUAUAUUGGAAGCAAAAGUUAAAAAUGGAAAUUGCAAAAAUAAAUUCAAUUCCAAAGUCAAUAGGAAAGAAAAAUGGAACAAUGAUUCCUAUCUUUCCCUUCCCAUCCAUCAAUUCAAACAUGACCUUAUUUCUUAUUCUAAAAAUUUUCCAAUUGAAGGGCAGUCAAAAAGUUAAAAGUUAAUAGCGGUUCUUUUUAUUAUUAAAAUAUGUCUUGAAUUAUUACAUUUAUUUUAAAAAAUAAAAAUAAAAAUCAAAUGGUUGAUCAGAAUCAAGGGAUUAUUACUAAAAACAAACCCAUAUCACCAUUUGGGUAGAUGAGGGGUUCCCAUCUAAUUAAGUUGUGGACAAGGAAAAGGCCACUUGACAAAAUUAAUAAAAUUGAAUCGAGCCGCACCAGUCUCAUCAAAAUUAUGAAUGUAAUCCUUUCCACCUACGGCUACGAUCUUAAUUUUGGUGGUAAUCGACAGAUAGUAGAAGGAGGGGGGUGGCGAGUCUGGCGACCCAAAUUCUGAACCGGCGCACCGACCCAAGUCACGAAACUUCCAAACCCAGUGAAUAUAUUGAAAGAAAAUAAUAAUAAGAAGAAAACAAUAUGACAAAAGGUGAAACCCUAUAAAUGAAGACCCCCCCAGCCACGUUACCCAUAUGGGUCUAUAGAAUCGCGAUCCAUAUAGAACUCAACCACUCACUCAGCCUUAGCCCUUAGGUUUUCACAAUACCAUUUCUUUUGUGCCCCACACCCACAGGUUACAACCAUAGUUUCUCCUCCCCAAUUCUCUCUCUCCUCUCCAAUCUGUCUCUUUUCUCUUAUAUUUUUUGCCAUGGUACACACCCAGACCUAAAAGAGAAAAAAAAAGAAAGGGAAAAAAAAAAAAAACUGGCCCCGUAGCACAUCCAUUAGUAGGAAUAGAGGAAAAAUUCCCACAAAUUUCACCCGAACAACAAUGGGAAAAGGUGAUGCUCGUGCAAAAUCCACCUCUCCUGCCCAUCUUUAAAGGUACAUUACCACCAUUCUCCGGUUCUAUUUGGUGUCUCUGUAUCUAAGCGUAGGCCAUGGCAUAUAUGUGACAUGUUUGUGACCUUAUAUAUUUUUAUUAUAUAUUAGGUACAGCCCAUGCGACAAAUCAGAAUAGGGAAGAACCCUUACUUGAUUUCAUGGGUUAAUUAAAAUCAAUCAAGGGAUUUUGGGGACAUUGAUUGUGGUUUUUCUUAUACACGGUUAGAUGAUUUUGAUUUUUGAUUUGGACCCACCUUUUGGAUUGCUGAUCUGUAUAUGGGUUUUGGAUGUUGUUGAUUAUUGUAGGGUUUUUUUUGGUAAUUGUAUUAUCAAUAAGGGAAAAUAAUGCUAGGGUUUUAAUGCAAGAUUAUUGUUGGGUUUCUGUAAUUUGGUCUUCUCUGAUUAGGGUUUUAGUCAAUGACGAUCACUGCAACUUAAACGUCGGUUCCUGGAAUUCAGAUCCUUCAUAUGCACGAUCAUUUCGUUACAGGGUAAUGCUAUCUAGCAGGCGACCGGGCUUUACAGUUUUGCAUGCGGCUUAGCUGUUUCAUUUUUUCAUGCAGAUGUUGUCUCCGUUAAUGCCGUUUUUUUUUUUAAUCGCUUAAAAUUUAUUUUUGGAAGCAAAUUUUGCUAAAUUCAUACAACCCAUUUUAUUGAAUAGUAAUAAACUAUUUGGUCAUGUCAUUAUUGUUUAUUAUUUUUAAAGCAAGUGAAUGCUGUUUUUUUUUCUUUUUUAUUUUAUUUUUUUAAAAUUUUUUAUUUUUAUACCGUUAGUGUAUUAAAUGUUAAUAUUGUUAUUAUUAUCAUUCUGUAUAGAAAGAAAUUUUAUUGGGACUCUAGAAAAUUGAUGGGUGGAUUAUUGUCAAUCCCUAAAGUGAGAAUCAUUAUGAAUUGAGGCAUGAAACAGCUAAUGGUUAAAAUUUAUAUUUAAUUUCCUGUAAGACAUAUGUGCCUGGUGUUGUUUGGCAUAAAUGUGCUAUGAUAUUACCAAUUUCAUGGGGACCUCUUGAUGAACUAGGGAUGUCUGGCUCGAUUGUUCUGGUUGAAAAUGGUGGUUAAGCUUGUCAAGUGAGAUUUAAGUAAUAUGGUAUUCUUACCCAGCCUUUAACUUAAUUGAUAUUGUUAGUGAAUGUUAAUGCUUGCUAUGUGCCACCACAUGGCAUUAUGUGUGAGACACAGAAUAAUCCUUUUUAGUUAAUUAGUUAUUUUGGUUUCAUUGAACUUAAAAAGCUGGUAAAAGUGGACAUUGAAGUCAUUUUGAUCUGGUUUUUGUUAAGGUUUUGGUUGUUUUCCAUAAGAACAUAAUUUUAAGGGAACUGUAUUAUUUGGACUGUGGAUUCACCCUGAUUGGUUUUAGAUGUAAUUAGAAUAGUCAUUUCAUAUACCGUACAGUCUGGUUCUAUGUGGUUAUGAGAAGAUUUCUAGUUCAAAUUUUCACCAUGAGUAUCAAAUGGCAACAUUACCGGAUUGCUGUUUCUUGUAAAAGAAAAAAUAGCAAUACAGAAAAAGACACCUAUGUUAGUGAUGAGCGGCAAGAAAAAGAUGCUCUCUCCAGUAUGUACUAGCCUCAAAUAUGGCAUGCAUCUACUUGUUAUGUUUCAUUUAUUGCAACUCUCCAGAAGGAUCUUCUUUGCCAUAGUUGGCCUAUUUGGUUGAUUAAUGCCACAAUAUGUCUCCUGUUAUCCUAUGGUUGAUGUGCAAAUUGUUACAAAUACCAGCUUCUAUUGGAGCCAAAUUAUGAGCUACAUAGUUUACUUUUAUCCUAAAGUGGCUUCGUAUUAUUCUAAUCUAGUAUCUUUGUAUUUAAGCACACAGGCAAGUGUUGUGACAUAUCCAUAUUGUUAUUCGUAUAGAGGAAAAUGCAUUUCUGUUUCUAUGUUUUGCUUGAGCCGUCAUUUAUGUGUCAUUGAUGGUUUUUAAUUCAUGUACCUGACUCAUCAUGGGUUGGACUUUGGACAGGGAAGGUGAGUUGGGUUUAAUCAAUAAAAUAUAGACAUUGUAUGGCAUCACGAAUUUUAGUGCAGUAUGGAAGUACUUCCUUGUUCUGGAGUUCAGUAUGUUGGAGAAUCUGAUUGUCCUCAACAGAGUCCAGGAACAACUUUUAUAUAUGAUGGAGAUUCAAACUGUGUUGAACAUGGACAACAAGUUCAAUUGGCAGAUGAUAAAAUGGAUAAAUUAUUGCUAAAUGCGGAAAGAUCUCAGAAAGAAAAAAAGGGUGAAGUCGAAGGGAGGGUUGAGGAGCUGCCUACUUCAGAGGGUCACUGUAGUGGAGCUUUGUAUUUUGAUUGUGAGGUGGAGGACCAAAAGCAACCUUGUAAUUCUCUAUAUUUUGAAGAUGGCAACUUAAAUGUGCAGAAUGGUUGCACAGAACCUUGCUUAGCCUCUGAUAGCUCUCAUCUCAUUGUGGAUACCAUUGAGAGUGAACUGCCAAGCAACACUGGGGAGGGGGAGUUGUCUGUUUCAGAGCCCAAGUGGCUAGAACAAGAUGAGACCGUGGCAUUAUGGGUCAAGGUACUAAUAUUAUCUUCAUUCUGUCAACUUUUUCUUCCUUUGUGGAUCAUAUGAUUUUGUUCAUGCUCACAUCAUGGAUAUAUAAUUUUGGUGGCUUGUUUGGUUUGAGUUUAAUCUGUUCAAAUUUUCAUAGAUAAUCUAUCCUAGUCUCUUUAAAGUACAGCAUUGCUAUCUUUAGACAGAGUGAAAGUGUUCCCUUUUUAAGGAACAGUUGGUUCUCUUCCUUGUAAAGAACUGUCCUUUUGAUUCACCAUGAUUUCUUUCUAGUUUUCAUAUUCUUCCCUCUUUUGUGGUCCUGUGGAUAUACCCUGGAAACAUUGUUGCUGGAAGCUCCAUUAAAUGGACAUUUUUAAAGUAUGUGAAACAACCAUUUUGGACAUCACAUGACAAGGACUUGGGUGUGGUAUAUAUGUCCAAUAUGCUUAUUAAUAUGGUAUGUACCCAACAUGUAGACCAAAAAUGGAAAAGGAAUAAAAGAUUCCUAGUUGGUUACAGGUGACUCUAUACGCACAUUUGACAUUCUAUACACCUCAAUCUGGCUGUAUAGAAUGUGAAAAGAGAGGAAAAUAGGUUAUUAUGCCAUGCUCUACUAUCAUUUAAUUUGGGGAGUAAGCAAAUAUGACACUUAAGAUGCACACCAUUUUCUAGCAUUUGUACUGGGUUCCAUGAACACACCCUUUAAGUGUCUUGGUCCCAGGUAUCAGGUAAAAGAUUUGGUAUGAUGGAAAUUUUACUAAUAUAAUAUGUGCCAUGAAAAAAGAUAACCAUGAGCUGACUUUAUUUUCAUAUUUCUGUCUCUCUGUUUUUCCAAGUAUAGUGGCGAGGGAAAUGGCAAGCAGGAAUCAGAUGCUCAAGGGCUGAUUGGCCAUUAUCAACUUUGAAAGCGAAGCCAACUCAUGACAGGAAGAAGUAUGUUGUCAUAUUUUUUCCUCACACAAGAAUUUAUUCUUGGGCAGAUAUUCUUCUUGUGUGCCCAAUUAAUAAGUUUCCACAGCCCAUUGCACACAAGACACAUAAUGUUGGAUUGGAAAUGGUUAAAGAUUUGACUAUUGCACGCCGUUUUAUCAUGCAAAAGUUAGCUGUUGGCAUGCUACAUAUCAGCGAUCAAUUACAUAUUGAGGUAUAUGGUACCUUUCUCUUCCUCUCACUUUUCAUUCUCCUUUGCCUGUGUGUUUUUACUCAAUAUCUGCUCAACUCUGUAGGCCCUGACAGAGAAUGUUCGUAAUGUGAUGUCCUGGAAGGAAUUUGCAAUGGAAGCUUCCCGCUGUAAAGGGUAUUCUGAUCUUGGAAGAAUGCUUCCAAGGCUUCAGAGUGUAAUCUCUUGCCUCCCCAUUCGUUGAUAAGGAAGUAGAAUAGUUCUUUAUGUUUUCUCAUCUGACAUAGGUUAUUUUGGUUUUACUAUCUUCAUUGCAUGUGUUGUCUUUAAAACAUUAAAGAUCAUUAUCCUCAUGGAGUGUGUUGAAGGCCUUCUAAGAUUGCAAUGCUUUUAAGUUCAUUUUAUGCAUUUUUGACCAUAUUAUUUUUAUAAUGUUCAUGCUGAAAAUCUAUGACAUUAAUUAGUGGAAAUAAUGUCAGAGUUCUCUUUCUUGUUCCACAUAGCUUUAGAUGAGUUUUUCACAUGUGUCAGUGGGCUGACCCUGGCACUUCAUCAAUUUAAUGCUUAGACUUGGCUUAAUUCCUCAUUCCCCUUAGCCUCAUAUUCACGCACGAGUUUCACCAUUUUAUUGAGAUAUUGUUUGUGAUUGUAUUCCCUCAAUUAGUUGGUGGUAUCUGGUAUUUGGAUAUCCAUGCACAUUGAACUGCAGCUUGGGGAAAUAGGUUUGAGUGGUAGUCUGAAAGUGAUGCAACUUUUAUGGGAUGGAUAUGGAUGGAUCCGUUGAGGUGCAGGAAUAGGUUUGAAAGGGAGGAGGUUAAUAGUAUCUGUGGUGUGAGGACUGAUCCAUUCUCUGUUUUGGUUUUUUCCUCUUAGUCACUAUGUGUAUUUUUGACAAAUUGGAUUAGGUCGUGAGAAAGAGGCAUUGUGUUCUCUGAAAAUGACUUACGAUAAUGGUAAAGGAAAAAUUUAAAAUUGAUUGUGUUUAGAGUGCUGAUUGUAUAUAUGCGUUUACAUGUGUUGAUGUCUGUACUGACUGUCAUUAACCUAAAAGCAAGGUUUAUUGUGGCAUUAUAAGGUUUCUGUAGUGGUUAUGGAGCUUGGAAUGUUUCCUAGAUAAAGAUUUCUGGCAUCCUAGGAGAGUAAACUCCCCUGUUUAUUGUACUGCUGUCACCUGGCUUAUCCAAGAAAAAAAAAAAAAAACGCCAUCUCUUGGGUGCUGUUGUUGGUGGUUGCCUUUUGGGGCUGCAGUGAGAUGUUACAUUCGAAUCCCAAUAAAAUAGGUGAUCUUGCUUGUACCUUUGGGGCAUGAUAGGUAUAGGGUAGUUUCAUGUGAAUAAAUUGGUGAGUCCUUUGAUGACAUGCAUGUCUACAUGGUCUGAUAUCAUUUUGACUAUCUGUAUCUGACUGUAUUGCUGAAAAUUGUAACUUACUUUACUAUGAUAAUCGUGAUAAAGUUAUUAGUUAUUUUAUGAUACAAUGUUAAGUGAUCAAAUGUCAUGACGGUUAAGGUGCCGUGGUUUUUCUUUAAUAAAAAAGAAUGUGUGGCUUGAUAUGAGUUAUGGACAUACUGGAUAUAAAUAUAAUGCAUUCAGAUGUAACAGAUUGCAUGGGAUUUAGGGGAUGCCUUGCAAUAUGGGGUGGGUCUGUAAACCUAUGGGUAACUAGCACAGUCUAUUUUUCUCAGUGCCUCAUGAAAUUAAUAGUGAAAGCAUCUCUUUUGUUGCUAAUAUACAAGUAGGUAACCUGCUUCUAAAUAGCUUAGAGAGGAUAAUGCACUAUAAUCCUGCACUUUGUUUAUGAAGAAGAGGGUCACUGAAGCUUAGCUGGCCCUUUCCAUAUUUUCUUUGAUAUGAGGUCCUUUUCCUCUCUAAUUUUAAAAGUACAUAUAUUAUUCCUGGGAAUAUGGUAUCACUUGCAUUUAUUCAUUGGAUUAGUUGAAAUAAGACAAUUUUAUGCUUGUCAUAAGAAUGGUAAAAAUCCCCAAAAAACAACCCUUGGCUUGCUUCACUAUCAAUAUAGAAGGAGAAAAAGGAAGGAAAUAGGAUAAACAAGUAGCCGGUUUUCCCUUUACCACAGGGUGUUCAAACUUUUGGACUUUUUUGACAAUAUGGCAGGGUGUUGGUUAGGUAGUUAUGAGCUUGUAUGUUUUCAUGGCAUGCUGUUGUUGGUGCUUGACAGUAUAGACAUCUUAAUUUUAUUCAGUCAUAAUGUAUUCUUUUUGAUAGGCAAACAAAAACAUUGAUUAAGAGCCCCUAACAAAAAUAGGGGUGCAACCCUAAUACACUGGUAGUUACAUCUUGAAGUUACAACAUUAAUUUGAUAAUCAAUAACCUGCUAUUUACAACUUCUUAGUGCUCCAUGGUAGGAUACAUACAAUUUGAUGUUUAUGAUGGUCUUAUCUGGAUAAAAUCUUUAAUAGGCUAUUGAAUAUGGAGUCCUACCUUGCAUAUUUAUCUUGUAUGGACGCUUAUAAAAAAAAAAAAAGUAUUUAUCUUGCAUGGACAGUAAAAUCCAUUUAUCAUGAUAUUUGAAGAGUAUUUCUGCUCAGUAUUUUUGAUUAUGCUGAUAUCAUGAUAUAUAUUUUUUCGUUUUGUUAUUAACAAAUAGAGAUUUUUUUCUUUUCUCUGCUUUUGCUUAAUUUUAAAGUUACACUUCUUUUCUUCACAGAUGAUAUUGAUGAACUACAUAAGUCCUGACUGGGUACAACAUUCUUUUCGAUCUUGGGUAGAACGGUGUCAUAGUGCAGAUAGUGCUGAAUCUGUUGAAAUACUGAAGGAGGUAUAGACCCAUCUUUUGUUGCUCUUUCAUGUUAAGCAGGCAUCAGAUUUGGUGUGCUAUAUUAUAGUUUGUCAUCUAUUGGAUAGUUGACUUUGGAAACAAGAGGGAAGAAUAUGCAAUAUGGCUUCACUUGCCUUAAAAAAAAAGAUGCAAUAUGGCUUCAUUAAUAAAACAUCUUAAUGUAUGAUAUGCUACCUUGCUCUUAAUAAGGUAUAUGCUGUGGCAAGAUUAGCUGCAUAUAGAAGAAAAAUAAGAUGAAAAUACCCUGGGGUAAGUUUUCUGAAGUUAUGUUGAGUUGUUGCUGCUUAAGAUUCAAUACCUGUAUUUGAGUACCAAAUAUCUGUAUGAAUUGAUACUAAAAGACUUUUUGGUAGCACCUUGAAAGUUUAUUUCUUGCUUUUAGAGGAAAGAAUAAUUGGUAAUAUGCCUGGAAGACCCUUCUUACAAACAAACGAUAAGAAUGAAAACUGAGAAGUUAUUGCUUUUGAAAGAAAAAAGAUAUUCCUUUUUCUUCAUGUUACUACCAUUGCCAUCCCCAAUGCACUUGAACCAUCAUAUCCACAAUGUCUACCACUGAUAAAGCACUGGUAGCAUUGCCAUCACAAUCACCACUGCCUAACCUCCACCUUCACUGAUGCCACGAAUUCUACUCCAUGAUUGCCACUCUAUCAUAGCCACUAGUGCUGCAAAAGGAUACAUUAAUAAGGGCCAAUCAAAAAAGGGGGAGACACCCUUUAUACACAGGGAGUAUACAAGAUUUGCCACACAGACAAAAAGGAAAUGACACCAAAGAUAAGAUUAAUUAAAACCACUAUUGAUAGAUCAAGUUAUCUAUAAAAUCUAACAGAGAAGCACAUUCUCCCUCGAACAGGGCUCUAGCCGAUUCCAUAAGAGACCUAAUUAGUGUCUCUUUCAGCUUAUGGUUGUCAAGCUCUUCCCCGUUGAAUAUCCUUUUGUUUCUUUCAUGUCACACACAACAGAACAAACAAAGGGGAGCCAUACUCCACAUCCUCCUUCUCCUUUUGCCAAUACCCUCAACUUCCAACCCAAAAGUGAUCUGUCUCAGAAUAUGGAAACACCCACUGUAGUCCAAAUAUUGCAAACAACAUAUCUCACAACCUUUGGUUUUAUCACAAUGGAUAAGAAUGUGGUUUGAUGAUUCCUUACUGAAUUUACAAAGACUGCAUUUGUUGGUCAUCUACUAUACUCUCCUCAUAAGAACAUCGCUGGUGCUGCAAGUUUGAGUUGAACCUUUUCCAAUCAGUUUUCAAAAUCUUAUGUUGCAGUUCUUACAUGCAGGAUUGUGGUGGGCUUAAAAAACCUCAGUGUAUUCUUAGGUUUAUGAGUGGUUUGAUGCUUCGAGGGACUUGGUCCAGCCAAGGCCAAUCUGACAAAUACUUGUUCAGUGCUAUUUUAUGAAUUAGAUUUUGUGUAGUUGCUUUUAUAUGUUAUUAAGUACAAUUGUGCUUUUAUGUGUAAUGUAUAAUGGCUUUUUGUUAUAACCUUGAGGGUGAUAUAUAUAUAUAUAUAUAUAUAUAUAUAUAUAUAUAUAUAUAUAUAUAUAUAUUUUGAUAAAUAAAGAAGAUUAUAUUUAAAAGGGGUGCCAAAAGAGCGACCAAAGGUAUACAAGAUAAAAUACACCCACCCCCACAUAGCUCAAACAAAAAAGAAGCUGCCAAAAAGGAGGUGCAAAAAACAUCCCCACCCUCAACGAGUGCCCAACAAAUCAAUGAAACUAAUUAGUGUUGAAGGAUGGGCCAUCCUUUACAAACAUCUUAGUCUCUGACUAAGGAAAGCUUAGCCUUUGGAUGGAAACCAUGUCAUCUUUGAAGGCAAUUCUAUUCCUUGCCUUCCAAACUAUCCAAAAAAUGCACAAGGGGCUUGCCUUCCAAACUUUCUUGUGCUUUUUACCCACAAAUGAACCAUUCCAACCCAAAAGCAUUGCUUUAACCGAAGAAGGAAGCACCUAAGAUACCCAAAAAAGAGUACAAAACAUCUCCCAUAAAACUCUUGUCUUUACACAGUGGAAAAGGAUGCGAUCUAUGGAUUGUUCAUGCAUUUGACAAAGAUAACAUCUAUUCGCUAAGGACCAUCCUCUUUUCUGAAUUUGGUCCAGGGUUAAAGCUUUUCCCCAUGUUGCCUCCCAAGCAAAGAAGCUCACUUUAGGUUGCACUCAUGGAUUCCAAAUGAUUUUCAUUGGAAAAGAAACUAAAUUGCUGGGCUACAAGGUUUUAUAGAGAGACUUAACAGUGAAACUUGCCACUCUUUAUCUCUGUCCAAAGAACCCUGUCCUCCUCAUCCUUAUGCACUCUCUUCCCAUGCAGGCACAACAAAAAACUUUCCACUUCAUCCACCUUCUAAUUGUUAAAAGGUCUAGAGAAAACAAGGCCCUAACUCCCCCUUACAACUAAGGAAUUCCAAAUAUCCUUCACUCAUUCCUCCUUGGAGACAGCUAAAGCAAAUAAAGAAAGGAAGGAAGCACACAAAGGUGUAGUCUCACACCACUUAUCCUUCCAAAAUUUCACCCUCUGCUUGUUAUCCACCACAAAGGAAAGUCUACUUUUGACAAGGUCCCAAUCCUUCCUAAUCACUAGUCCAUUAAGAUUCUUAAAUAUAGUUUCAAAUGUUUCUCUAUUUAUCAUUGUGGUUACUUAGAACAUCUAGCUUGACUAGGUGAUAAAAUUUCCCCUCAUUUUCUUCCAAGGAGUCAUUUCUAGUCUCCUUCAAUAUAUCAUUUGCAGCCAUGAUCUAAUAUAUGUCUGGACAACAAGCAUUAUAAAACAAUAAAAUGGACAAAGUAAACAAGAUAUGCUAAAAAUGCAAUUAUUCCUCUUUUAACUGGGAUAUGGCUUGAGCACCUCAAACCCAAGGUAGGUUCUGGUUUGGCGAUGGGCAGCUUGUUCAACCCAUACAGUUGGCAUUGGUAUAUAUCUGUGUUUUGAUCAAUGUUGUACAGUAUUGGGUUUUGAUCAAUCUUGGGAUUAGCUAGACCUAAGACUUCAACAAGAGUGAUUUAGUUUUCUAAUCUUUUGAGAAACUUAGACUACCGAUACCUCUUGUGGAAUAGAAACUUCUUUCUGUUACACCCAUUAUGCCAUAAUGGAGUAAGGAAUAAGAUAAAUAGCUGUUAGAACUCCAUAUAAAAGUCUAAAAGGUGAUAAUGGAUUGUUAUUGCAUGUUUUCCUGUCCUGCCUUUGAUUUGUUGCAACUUAUAAUUCAGAAGUUACCUGCUUCUGGUGUUUGCCUUCUGAAUUGGAGUGGUGUAGUGUUGUUAUCUUGAGGUAACCAGUUCAUAGAAGUUUCAAGAUUGUCUUAGAAUAUUGCAAUUAGUUUCUUGAAGUGUGUUAUUUAAAGCUGCUUUCAGGGGAGCCAUUUUCUGAGAUGUUGCUUAGUGAGAAAAGAAUGAAGAUACUUCUAUCAAUUUAAUUCUAAAGCCCCCAUGACAGUGAAUAGGCCCUGUUUUUCUUGAAAUUAUCUUAAUAGUGGACUUUAUCCCACUGUUGGCUCAUGGUUUUCUUUUUUCCUUUCUGAUCCAGGAAUUGUUUGGUUCCAUUCUGUGGAAUGAAGUCAGCUCACUCUGGGAUGCACCAGUGCAACCUGAGUUGGGUUCUGAGUGGAAGACCUGGAAGCAUGAAGUUAUGAAAUGGUUUUCAACAUCUCAUCCCAUCUCUAGCAGUGGAGACAUAAAACAACAGAGCGGUGAUAACCCCUUGACCUCAAGCCUCCAAAUUAACAGGAAGAGGCCCAAGCUUGAAGUUCGUCGUGCAGAGACCCAUGCUUCAGUGGUUGAGACAGGGGGUUUACAUCAGGCUGUAACUGUCGACAUUGAUUCCGGAUUUUUUGAUAGUCGAGAUAUAGUGCAUGAUGCUCCAUCAGCAUCUGAACCUUAUAAGGAGGAAGUUUUUGGGGAGGGAGCUGUAACAACAAAUUCUCCAGGUAGUGCCACUGAUAGAUGGAAUGAAAUUGUAGUUGAAUCUGGAAAUCCAGAACUUUUCCAAACCAAAGAUGUGGAAAUGACACCUGUGAGUGAGGUGGUUGCUAAGAAAUCCUUGGAUCCUGGGAACAAAAAUCGCCAAUGUAUAGCUUUUAUUGAAGCAAAAGGUAGACAAUGUGUGAGGUGGGCAAAUGAUGGUGAUGUGUAUUGUUGUGUGCAUUUGGCCUCUCGUUUUGUGGGGAACUCUGCAAAAGCAGAUGUAGCUCCCCCUGUUGAUAUGCCAAUGUGUGAAGGUACCACAACUCUUGGCACUCGAUGCAAGCAUCGGUCUCUCUAUGGCUCCUCAUUCUGUAAGAAACACAGACCCCAGAGUGACACAAAAAGGACCUUGACUUCACCAGAGAAUAAACUUAAGAGAAAACAUGAGGAGAAUAUAUCAAUUUCAGAAACCACACUAUGUAAAGAUAUAAUAUUGGUGGGUGAAGUUGAAAACCCUCUCCAAGUGGAUCCGAUAUCAGUUGUGAAGGGAGACAACUUUGAGAGAAAACAUAACUUGAUUGAGAAUCCUGAGUAUUCUAGUAAAGGGUAUAUGAACGCAGAGGUACUGCACUGCAUUGGCUCACGCCCUGAAGAUGGUGGUGAUCCUUGCUUGGAAAGUCCAAAGCGACAUUCAUUGUACUGUGAAAAACACCUUCCGAGCUGGCUUAAACGUGCUAGGAAUGGUAAAAGCAGAAUAAUUUCAAAAGAAGUGUUUAUAGAUCUUUUAAGAAAUUGCUGUUCACAGGAGCAAAAAUUGCAUUUGCAUCAAGCAUGUGAGCUUUUCUACAGACUCUUCAAAAGUAUUCUGUCCUUGAGAAACCCAGUUCCUAGGGAAGUCCAACUUCAAUGGGCACUGUCUGAAGCUUCUAAAGAAUCUGGUGUUGGGGAAUUCUUGACAAAGUUGGUUUGCAGUGAAAAAGAUAAGCUCAUGAGACUCUGGGGCUUUAAUGCUGAUACUGAUGUACAAGUUUCCUCCUCUGUAAUGGAAGAAGCAGUUCCUGUUCCGGUAGCCAUUGUGAGUGGCUGUGAUACUGAAAAGACCAUUAAGUGCAAAAUUUGCUCAGAGGAGUUUCCUGAUGACCAAGCAAUAGGCAAACACUGGAUGGACAAUCAUAAAAAGGAAUCUCAAUGGUUGUUCAGAGGUUAUGCUUGUGCCAUCUGCCUGGAUUCUUUUACAAACAGGAAAGUUCUGGAAAGUCAUGUGCAGGACAGACACCAUGUUCAGUUUGUUGAACAAUGCAUGCUUUUCCAGUGUAUUCCUUGUGGCAGCCAUUUUGGGAAUACGGAAGCAUUGUGGUUGCAUGUGGUCUCAGUUCAUCCUGUUGAUUUUAGGCUGUCAACAGUUACUCAACAGCAUAAUGUGUCUGCAGGUGAAGAUUCUCCACAGAAACUUGAGCUGGGUGCUUCAGCUUCUAUGGAGAAUCACACUGAGGGUCAAGGUGGUUUCCGGAAGUUCAUUUGUAGGUUUUGUGGGUUGAAGUUUGAUCUGCUUCCUGAUCUUGGCCGCCACCAUCAAGCUGCUCAUAUGGGGCCAAAUCUAGUUAGCUCUCGCCCUGGAAAGAAGGGGGUUCGUUAUUAUGCUUAUAGAUUAAAAUCAGGGAGGCUUAGCCGUCCUAGAUUUAAGAAAGGCCUAGGAGCAGCAUCAUUUAAGAUCAGAAACAGGAGCACUGCUAAUAUGAAGAAACGCAUCCAGGCAUCUACUUCAACCAGUUCUGGGGGACUAAGAGCACCUUCUCAUGUAACUGAGCCAGUGAGCCUUGGUAGAUUGGUGGAAUCUCAAUGCUCUGAUGUUGCAAAGAUAUUAUUCUCUGAGAUUCAGAAAACAAGAUCCCGACCCAGUAACCUUGAUAUUUUGUCCAUUGCUCGCUCAACUUGCUGUAAGGUAAACCUCCAAGCAUUACUGGAGGGGAAGUAUGGAGUUUUGCCAGAACGGUUGUAUCUGAAGGCGGCCAAACUCUGUAGUGAACAUAAUAUUCAAGUGAGCUGGCAUCAAGAUGGGUUUGUUUGCCCUAAUGGAUGCAAACCUGUGUCAAACGCACAUUUACCGUCUCUGCUGAUGCCACACUCAAAUGGUUCUAUUGGGCAUGGCUCUGCAUCAUUAGAUCCUGUGAGUGAGGAGUGGGAAAUGGAUGAGUGCCAUUAUGUCAUUGAUUCACGUCAUUUUGGAAACACACUCCUGCAAAAAGAUGUCGUUGUGUGUGAUGAUAUAAGCUUUGGUCAGGAAUCAGUUCCAAUUGCCUGUGUAGUGGAUGAGGAUCUUCUGGACUCCCUUCACAUCCUUGCAGAUGGUUCUGAUGGCCAAAUCACCAGAUACUCCAUGCCUUGGGAGAGCUUUACCUAUGUCACAAAGCCAUUGCUUGACCAGUCCCUUGGUCUUGAUGCAGAGGUACCUUUUUACUAGUUACUUUGGUCUUUGUUCUAGUGCUCUCUAAUGGUAAAGCUAUCUUUAUAUCAUUAUGGACUAAACUAUCCUUGUUAUAUACAAUAUGUAACUUGACCACCAUAAACUGGGGUUGGAGACUCUUUAUCGUUAUGUCUUUGAAGAUCUAUGUUACAGUGACCCUGAUUGGCCAAAUGGUCGAAGCUGUAAUCUUCUCAUGAAGUGGCUUCCUGUGUGUGUUAAUGAAUUUACUCUUGCACCAUUAUUCUACUCUGUCUUUCUCUAAAUGCAUUUAUUCUCAUGCCACUGUUGUACUCCCUCCCUCUCCACAUGCAUCUGGUCUGUGCCAAAUCGUACACAUGACAGACACCAGACACAUGCUCCAUGCAUUUUUUUUUUAUUGCAUCAGAAGUGAAAGGUUACUUGUAUUUAACUCCUUCGUGCUGGAGCCAUUUCAUUUGCUUUCCUCUUUUUUUCUGGUACAGAGUUGGCAAUUGGGUUGUGCUUGUCUACACUCAACUUGCUCUCCUGAAAGAUGUGAUCACGUAUACCUCUUUGAUAAUGACUAUUCAGAUGCAAAGGAUAUAUAUGGGAAACCCAUGAGUGGCAGAUUCCCAUAUGAUGAAAAAGGACGGAUUAUCUUGGAGGUAAUGAAAUUUAUUCUACUGAAUCACUCUAAAUUUGAUAAUAUUGAAUGAUUGAACUUUUAUUGUUGAUUACAUCUGAAAUAGUAUGUGCUUUUGUAGAAUUCCUUGUCCUUUUUCUUCAUCAGUUAUACUAUGCUAGAAUACAGAUAGAAUGGCAUGGUUAUCAUACAAGUUAGGAAAUUUCUUAUUAGGUGAUGAAGGAAUGCUGUUUUCUUUGUUUUUGUUCUUAUCUGGAAUGCUGGAAAUUAUAACCAAUUAGUGAAAGCCAUAGAUUACCCAAUUUGGUUUCCCUAAUUAUCUAAUCUAUCCCCCAAAAUUGCUUUUUAUCCAAACAUGUGCUAGAAUGAUGAAAUAAGUGAGGGAAUUGUAAGUUCUAGAUGCGAGUGGGUUAUAAAGUUGUCCAAAUCUUUCACUGUGUUCCCUUUAUGGGCACAAUGCCACAAACUCCAUUGACAAGAAGACAAAACUGUUCUUCCUGGACUUGUUCCUUUAUUGCCAUGGGUUGGUACAUUAGACUUUUUCUCUUAUAAUCCUGCAGGAGGGUUACCUUGUCUAUGAGUGCAAUGGCAAGUGCAGCUGCAACAGAACAUGUCAGAAUAGGGUUUUGCAGAAUGGAGUGCGAGUAAAGUUGGAAGUCUUUAGAACAGAGGAAAAGGUAAUGUUAUCCACUUUUUCAUAUCUAUCAAAAAAAAAGUUAUCUACUUUUUCAUGGUUGUCAAGACAAGAAUCUUAGGUUAAUCUCUUUGAAAUUAUUCACAGGGUUGGGCAGUCAGGGCAGGUGAAGCAAUCCUUCGGGGUACGUUCAUAUGUGAGUACAUUGGAGAGGUUUUAAGUGAGCAAGAAGCAGACAAGAGGGGCAACAAUAGGUUUCGCACUCUUCCUAAUGGACAUGGUUUCAUCAUUUUAUGUUAAAUUUUAUUCAAUGUUCUGACUUUGUUGAUUACAAUGUCCAGGCAUGGUGAAGAAGGUUGCAGCUAUUUUUAUGACAUCGACUCUCAUAUCAAUGAUAUGAGCAGAUUGGUAGAAGGACAGGUUCCUUAUGUAAUUGAUGCUACAAGAUAUGGAAAUGUUUCACGGUUCAUCAAUCACAGGUGAGGGAAGAGUUUCUAUGUGCUGUUUUUUGGAAUAUGCUUUCUUAUGCUCUGGUUUAGAAGCUAUAUAUUGCAACUUGCCUACUUGUGCAACCAUUAGGAUAAAAAAUCAAAUGGUGUGCUGCCAGUUUGAUCCCAAGUUUGACUAUUGUUUAAGAAGGUGAAGUGUCGGUGAAUUGUAUGGCUUCUAGUUACAUGAGGCACAUGCUUCAUGCCCCUCAAUUUGGACAGAAAUUUGGAAAGAAGGAUUUUGAAAGCAAUGAAAGAUUAGAGAAGUUUAUAGUAUAAAUAUUUUUGUAUUCAGUAAAUAUUUAUUUAUUCAAGCAUCAUUUAUGGAUUGUACAAAUCAGGGAGUAGUGAAAGAAGUUCAUAGAUGUUCCUUUUAACCCAAUAAUGCAUAUACACAUACAUACACCCAUCCACACACACACAAACACAAACACAAACGCACCAUAUAUGUAUGUAUAUGUAUAUUGGGAAGUAGGACCUGAGUUUUACACCCACUGCCCUCACCCAAUAAGAUCUUUCUCUAAAAGGUGUUGUUGAUUAUCAGCUGUUAAUGGUCAAAAGCAGUACUAUAAUACUUAUAAUAUAUUAAUUAAUCUCUCAAAUUUUGAUUUUAAUGAAAGCAAAUUAACGCCAACAUCACCACCACAAUGAUGGUUGAUAUAGUAGUAUUAUAGUAGUUACUAAUGGUUCAUGGUAUUGUGUUAGAAGCCAUGUUUUUAACAACAAUUAUCCCAUUGUUUUAAAAGCUAUUAUAAUUUAUUGUUAUUUUGAUCAAAUUAUAUUGUUUUAGCUGAUUCUAAACACCACCAUCGCCACCACAACCAUGGUUGUUGUUGUAGCAUUAUAGUAGUUACUAAUGGUUCAAAGUAUUUUGCUACAAGCCAUGAUUUUAACAACAAUUAUCCCAUUGUUUUAAAGGCUAUUAUAAUUUAUUGUUGUUUUGAUCAAAUUAUAUUGUUUUAGCUGAUUCCAGUAUUAAAACAUAACAUACAACAGUUUAAUAUUAUUUUUCACCUAAUUAUCCCAACACUUAUUGUUUUAUUUAUAACCUUGACUACUAAUGUUGUGCCACCCCAUAGGUAACCUGCAUCAUGGCCUUGUAAUGCUGUCACUGCCACUGACCUUCUUUUGCUUUCCUUUGUUCAUACACCAUGUCUCCACUGUGUUUAUCACUAUUGUGUUGCACACAGCAUGCUGUAUGUCUUGUCUGCGUGUUAAAUAAUUUAGAAGUGAGUAGAAAAGUGGCAGUGAGCACUAUUUUUGGUUUAUAUUUCAGGUUGUGAAAAGCUACAUAUAAAAUGUAGCAGCCAUUUUGUUCAUAAGCUUACUUCUAGUGUGUUUGAACAUUAAGUUAACAAGAGCCACAUUAUUUUUGUGCUUGUAUAACUACUAUUAGAUCCCUUCUAAGUGGUUUUAGAAACACACAUAUAUUGAAGAUAGAGUUAGGAAUCAAUCAAUGAAGAAUGGUUAAUUAUAGAUGCUAGUGUUUCGUAUACUUUUUGCUUGGAAAGAGACUUGUCACCUAAAAUUUGUUCAGGAAUCAUUAUUGAAGUUCUUUUUAGAAAAAGCAGUUUUGAUAUGCUUUCUAAGAGAGCUUUUAGUGGUCCUUCCUAUUGCAAGAGAAGUAUUGCUGAGAAUUUGGAUGCCUGGGAUCAAAUUGCUUUAAGUGUUUUUUACCAUCGCUAUUUUCUGUCUCAGUAGUUAGUCCAUAUGUCUUGGAAAAAAAGAAUAUUAUGAAAGCUACAGAAACAUUAUAAUUUUUUAUCUUGCGCCAGGGACAAAUGUACAAUGUUGUUGAGGUUCCAAGCUUGAUUCAUGCACCUCAUGUUCCUCUCGUAAUAUGAAACUUUAGAAUUUACUGCUUUUCCCAAUAUUUGUUUGAGAGGAUAUUGGAAGGCUUUGUUUAAAUGUCUAUUGACUUGUUCUGACAUAUUGUUGUUGGUAGCUGCUCACCAAACCUCAUUAAUCACCAAGUUCUUGUGGAAAGCAUGGAUUGUCAGCUUGCACAUAUUGGUCUCUUUGCAAAUCGAGAUGUAAGCUCCCUUUCCUGUCCUUUAAAUACAAAUUUCUACAUGCUAAUAAGACCUCGGAAAAUUGAGUUGUCUAAAAUGAUUUUUAAGAUGAUAGAUCCUGUUGGGAAUGGGAGGAGGUGCAUUAUAUGAUUGGGUGUGCGGGGAUCUUCUGGGUGGGACUCAAAAUGGGCGCUAGGCCUCCCAUGUGCCAAAACAUAACCCAUGACUCAUCCUUUACCAGUUCAUAUAGAUUAUUUCCCAUGCCACUACUUGUUUUCGCGUGGAUGGUGACACUCCACCUCUAAAUGUAAGUAGUAGUCUCCGUUGUCCUAGUACUGCACUUCUAAUGUAAUUGCUGUUUUAAUUUUUAUGAGCAGAUAUCUUUGGGUGAAGAACUGACGUAUGAUUAUCGAUAUAAACCACUGCCUGGAGAAGGAUACCCAUGUCAUUGUGGAGCUUCCAAGUGCCGUGGUCGUCUUCACUAGAUCUUUAAUCAAUGUUUUGCCCUUGUCCAGCGUACAGCAUUUGGUUAUAGAAUUAAAUGAUUAGAGGAUGGGAGAUUUGUGAGACGAUAAAACUCCUUUCAGCUAGUAAGAAGUGUCAAUUUUUGGUAGAGAGAAUGGCGGAUAACGUCCCUAGCACCUUAGUAAGCUGUACAACUCACACCAAGGCAAUGAGCACAUUGGAUGAAUCUGACAAUGGCACCCAGGCUCUUUAAACUCCAGAUCAUCUUUCUGUAAUUAGGCGUAUGGCUUUCCCCUUAAGUAGAUUGUAUCUAUGCCUUUUUCCUUUAUACACGUGUCUCCAAAGAAAGGGUGGAAGCUCAUCUUAUCUGGAAAAUUGAUUUUUUAUUUAUUUAACUUAAAGGUUAUCUGGAUUAGCAAGUUGUAGAUGAUUUUGCACCACUUUAAGUAGGUAGUCUUCUGAUAACAAAUGUGCAUUGUUUAAAAUUAGCUUAUUUAUGCUGAAAAUUCCAAUACGUUUACCCAUUUUUUUACAAUAUUGAGCUUCCACAUAAUUUGGCAGAAAUUCUGAAUUCACUGAAAAUGAUACUAGGAACUUCCAAUGUUCUUCUGUUGAUUCCAUAUUUCAGAAGCAGAAUAUGCAGGCUUAAUUGUUUGUCAAUUUGUUGGGUGGAAUCGUAGAAGGAAUUAUUGUCCACGGUUGAACAAUUGUCUUGUUGGUGUUUGAUGACUUCUCUGCUUUGGUUUUACGUCCCAAAUUAGAAUGAACCUGGAGUAGCAGAUUCAGGAAUGAUUUCAGACAGCAGGUUUGGUUUGGUGCUGGAAAAAUGAGGGCCCAACCCUAAUGUUUUGAUAUAAUUUAGAUGGGGGAAUAUGAUAAAAUUUGCUGACAUGCGCUUUACCUUCUUGAUUAGUAUAUCUCUAUGGUAUGCAGCCUCUCUCUGGAAUUUACCAACAUCAUACAAGCUUCAGUAUCUUAAUUUGUUGAAGGUUGUUCAAAGUCACAAAAAUGAUGGCCAUGAUUGAUGAUAUGAUAUUGCUAAUCUAUUGGAUUGAGAACUUAAUAUAAUGAGUUUAAUGAAGGUUACUGUACCCAGUCUAUUUCUACAUAUGUAUGUACAAUAUGAACUCAAUGAAGCUUCUAAUCUAGUCUUAUCAUCUUCUGAAAUGGCGUGGAACCCAUUUUUCAUCAUUUUGGAGAAGAGUGCAGAGAAAAUAUCAAUAAUGAGUGUCUGAUAUAGCUGACAUGCAUUAUCGGAAAGAAGCUAUUGUAGAAAGUUUAGUACAUUGCUAACAUGUAUUACUCUCUUAGAUCAGCCCUUCGUUUCUUCAUCAUCCCUGCACAUUAGCUCUAUUAUCACACAUGAUAGAGGUAUAUUUAUGUGUCUGAUCAGCUCUUCAUUUCUCCUUUUUGCAACACGAAGAAGCCAAAGGACAUCCCAUAGCUGGCUACCACCAAGAUUGCCAUCCCUGUAAUCCCAGAUACCAGAAUCAAUUACGUUGAAAAUCGCAUAGCUCAAUACUAAUUCAUGUUUCCCACACAAUUUAGUAAAAAGAUAAGACCAGGCGGUUCAUUUUUCUCACCGCAUUCAACAUAUCUUGGCACUUUCUUUUCCUUUCUUUUGACGUAAUCUUUUUGGACAGAUGCUGCUUGUAACUGCAGAUACAUGGAAUUGACCACAAAUCCACUUCCAAAUUUCUCUCUAACAACUUUCUCCUUUAAAUCUAAUGACCAGAACCCUGCGAUUCCAUAUACAAACUCUUCCACUGCCACCUUAAUAAACAGAAACACUCCAAGCCAUAGUGCUAGUUUAGCAAUCUUUCUGAUUGGUUUCAAUGACAAGGCCCCGAUCCCAUUAAUCAAAUUAACACCACAAGCAGACGCAUAGAGAGGAAACCAGAAAUACCAAUCUAAACAAAUCAACCAAAAAAAGGAAACGAAAGAAAACACAGAUAGAUAGAAUUAGCCAGUUGAGGUUGGAACUAGUGAAAAACAAAUAGGUCAGUAAGACUAAGGUACCAGGAUCAUCAAAUUGAACAGAUGAAGACCAAGCAAAGAGGGAGGCCAUUAAUAGAGAGCACAAGCUGAAUAGCUUUGUGGGUGUAGCCAUUUUCUUCUGUGCCCAGAGCUUUCAAAACUGAUGGUGGCAUAUGAGGCAUCUAACUGGUGCUUGAAGUAAGACGAUUGAACUGAAAUAGUCAACGGUUUAUGAAGGUUCGAUCUAUUCAUUUAACUAUUCAUUUCUGUGGGUGGUUUUGGAUUUUCUAUUACCAAUUCUGGUCAUUAUGAUGGAAGUUUGGAUACUGAUCGGCCACAAUCCUCUGAUCGGGUAUCGCUUGAUCUGAUUCCAAUACAUUGAAAGACAUGUACUGGGAAAAGCCAAUUUGUAGUUAUAAAUAAUAGCACAUCGAUCACUCCCUAAGAGGCUAAACCGACCAAAUUGGUUUUACUUUUGGUAACCCAAGGCUGGACAAAGUCUAACUAGACAUCAGAAGUGUUGCUGAAGCAGCCUAAAAUUUUUGACAUUAGGAGCAAGGGGUCUUUAUGGCUGAACACGUUCUCCAGCCAACAACCACCUCGCGUAGCAUUUAAUCCACACACCCAUUUGAUCGUCCUUUGUCCAUCACUGAUUACUCUUGAUUUCAGUCAUGGGUAUUGGUCCUAGCUUCCCAAGGAAAAUUGCUAAAAAAUUGUAAGUGAGAAUGUGCAUAGUGCCCAUUAUUCUAUUCUUAGGCUGAUGCCAAAUGCCAAAGUAGAACAAUUGAUCAAAUGGAAACUACUUACCAUCUGCUAUAGGCUAUAGCCCUCAUUUCUCUACGUCCUAAUGCAGUGGAUGAGCCAUAUAAAUACAUUUAUUUCAACCUUAGCUUUACCACCAAUAUUCUUACCAAUUUUAGUAACAGUUGAGCUGCUGAGAAACUUCCUGUUAUGCAAUCACUCUUACGAAAGCCUGAUAAGUAACAAGGCAGGCAGGGACCGUGGUCACAUGGGGCAUUGGGCUUUAGGUGACAAAUGUUAAAUCAAGUACAGGCGUGGCAAGCAACUUGGUCUCUAAUCAGCUGAAACAUGGUGUUUCUUUUUAUUGUUCUGGUAGCAGAUAAUGCUCUUUGUCUGCUUGUUUCCAGGAGUCAUGCGUUCCCGCAACAAGAAUCUGGGUGGAAAAAAUUCGAUAAAACAGAAAAAGAAAAAACCAGGAGAAGAAAACAAAGAAAAGCUGUAUUCACUGUCGCAAGAUACAUGGUUUCUGAAUCAGAAAUUUCAGUUAUCUUCUAAUGCAUUUUACUUAGUUUUUAAAUCAAUGCCAAGUGUUAUUAAUCAAGGCAAUUUCAUAUCAUCCUAACAGCUGUUCUCUUUCAUCAUACAGUCAUUGGGCUGAGUCCCUUCUACAUGACUCUUCGACCACUAUAAUUGGCAAUGAUCAACAGCAAUAUGCGCCAGUGGAACCCAGUACCCACUUUACAGAAAUAUGUAAUGGGAGUAAUAUUAAUCCAACUCUGAGUGAAAAAUGAAAGCUUCCUUAGAUGAUUGCUUAUUGUUUACACCUAAAUUAUGGAAAAUUUCAUUCAUUUUAUUAUUACAUAACCUGAUAGCUUUAAUUGACAGAAAAUGUCUAAAUGAGAUUCAAAUAAUGAUCCAUAAUCUGGUACAAGUCUGAUUCUAUUAUAGCUUGAAAAAGCAGCAUCCACAUGGGAGUUGACUCCUACAUCCAAUUUAUAGAUCUCUGCAAAGGGGUCAAAUUAAUUGUAGGAUGAGUGAGAGAUGGUGUUCAUAGGAUUUAUGGUUAAAACCAGGAGGAGCCAAGAUGGGUGCUCAGUGUUCUCCAAGAUGUACCCACAUGAGAAUAGGUGGGAUGGUGGGCCAAUUCACGCCACUGCCAUCUGGCCCUGGGCUUCUUUUCUGUACCAUUGAUGAUGAUAACGUGCGCCUUCUUUUUUUUUUCCACUCAAGCAUCAUAUGUAAACCCUCCAUUAUUGCACAGCAACAAACUACGGCCCAUAGCUUUAAAUAAUGGGGCAGAACCCCAAAAAAAUGAAAAGCUUGGGUCAAAAGAAAUUCAAAACUUCAUAGACAUUUGGGUCUAGUAUCUUAAAACUAUGUUUAUGUGAAUUUGUGCUACUUGAUGGUGAUGCUUUUCCCCUCUUUAUUUUUUUAAAGUGAAAGAAGCUUGUAGGGAGGAGGAGAAAAAGAAGAAGAAAAGAAACCCAAUUCCAUCCGAUCAUUUUGAAUCAUUACUCUUUUCUUUUACAUUCUGUAUCACAAUGGGCCCAUGAUAUCAUCCCAUUGAAGAUUAAGGGGUUCAAAUUAGAUUUGUUUGCCUUUAAUCCAGUCAUGUCUGGAAUGUGGUCACCCUCUUGAAAUCACACAGACCCUGUUGAAAUAACAUUUUUUAAUUUGGUUGGUUUUAGGGCAAUUGGAAUUAUUUUUGUGUUUUCAAAGUUUUGAUUCCUUUGAAUGAUUUGAUUAGUUGGCUUCAAACUUGGGCGGAGACAAAAUAAUAAAUUGCAUUGUAACUACCAAAACGAGUUGGAAAUAGCAAUAUGAGUUGUUAUUUUUCUCCAAGAAUGGUAUUAGGCAUUUAGGACCAUCCAUCAUUUUCCUCUGCUCAAAGUCUCCAGCCUCUAUUCCCAAAAUGCCCAAAGGACAAUGCCAUAAUCUGGAAUCUUUUGAACCCCAAAUUAAGCAAUGUUGUAAGGGUGUUUGUGUGAAUUACAAAGUCCAUAGAUUAGAGGACACACGAAAACAACAGUGUCUUUAGGCAAGCGAAUCCUGCAACGGUCCACAAAAGCAACAUAGGCAUACAAGAAAGGAAAAAAGCAAAAAAAAGUUGUAAGACACUGGUAUGGCGUGCCUGUUUGAUCACUGAGAACGAAAGAGAAAGUUUAGAGACAGAGUAUUUUCAGGGAGUGGUAAAGUUAGAAACACAACCCAUCAAUUAUCACUUUUCUCUUUUCUGUGUUUUUCUUUUAAAAUAAAAAUUCUUUUGGGUGUUGUAAUUUUCUUAAUAAAAAAUAAAAGAAAUAAAGAGACACCCAUCAUUUCUCUCUGCAAGUUUGUGUUGAGUGGUUCCCUUGAUGCUUGACAUCGGAGCUCCGUCCAAUCAUUCUGGACGCUCGUGGACUCUAAAAUAAGAGGUAGGGAGAUGGGGUUUCAAGGAAGUCACAAAAUUCUGCUGUUUGUGGUGGUGAGUUGGUAGGUCUUUCUGGGGGUUCAGUGUUAUAUAGAAGCCCUAUUUCAUGCUUACUUGCGGUUUUUGUGGUUUAAUUGUUUAUGGGGCGUUGUCUAGGACUUGAUCUAUAGUUAGAUAUGAAGGAGUCAAGGAAUCUCUUGGUCUCUACUUCACGGAUUUGACUGCAUUUUGUGCCUUUCUAUGGGAGAUAUUGGUGAGCUUUAAUUUAAAUUAUUUAGGAAAAAGAUUUCAAAUUUCUGUCUUUGAGGCUGGUUUUCUGUGUUUCUGUAAAGUUCAUAGUCGUUUCAUCUGCUUCCUAGCUGCUACGGGCAAGUAAAACUCAGCUUUGGUUUUCCAUGUUCUGUGUUCUCUUGUGGAAUUGACAGUUUGGUAACAUUUGUUUUGAUUUGAAGUUCUUGACCCUCAUUUUUUUAGAAAAUGAUUUUUUUCUCUACCAUUUUGAAGAACAAUUAAUUAGUUGCUUUUGGAGUCCCUCCAUGUUUUUACAUGCCAUAUCUUCAUCGAAUUAUGCUAUAAAUUCUUGUUAAAUAUGGCUGAAAUUAGACUUACCAAGGUAGAACAGGGUCAAACCAAAAUCAGAAAUGUUCCAAUUGCUGUGACCCCGGAAGGUUUUUGGUGUUGCCCCUCGCCUGUUGUUUUCCAAAAGACUCUCAAAGCUCAAAACCCUCUAAACAAACCCAAAUCCUCACCCCCACCACCCACCAAGACCUCUGUUCAGAAGAAGCAGGCCCCAAUGACUGAGAGAAAACCGACUUCCACUCCAUCAAGGCCAGGAGUUGUUUCUGAUGAUCAAAGAACUUUUGCUUCUGAUGCCCCUGCUCUAAGUGCAUUGGUUAAUGAGAGGGCCCCAAGGCCCAAGAUCGAAAAUUUACCUAGGAAGGUGGCAAUCGAGUUUGGUGAACCUGGAACCAGUGAUAUGAAAGUGAUCUUAAUGGGAAAGCAGGGGUUUUAUGUGAAGUUGAGUGUUCACAAGAACGUUCUCAUGGAAAAUAGCAGUUUUUUUGCAGACAAACUUUCUGAAGAACAGUCUAAUUUGUCCUGUCUUGAAAUCGAGGAUUGUGAAGACAUUGAAAUUUAUGUUGAAACGGUGGGAUUGAUGUAUUGUAAAGAAACCAAGCAACGGUUGAUCAAACAAAGUGUCUCACGGGUACUUCGUAUUCUCAAGGUAAUUAGCUAAUGGAUCCCUUCAUUAUUUUACAACUAUAUGUUGACUGAAAUUGUGCCAUAUAUGUUUUGUAAUUUGUAUUGUAAGACAACCAUAAUAACUAUCUUAAAGGUAUGUUUUGGCUUGUUGAAGCUUUAUUAGAAGAACCUUAAAUUAUGAUUCCCCCAGUCUAGAAUAAUUUUGAUGUAUUUUCUGGAUGUUGCAAAUGGUUUAUCUUCUCUUCAAUUAUGUCAAUUAUGAUUCCUCCUUACUCUAUCCUAUUAUAGUUUGAUAUAUUUUUUUAUGCAUGUUGUAAAUGGUUUGUUUUCUCUUUAAUUAUGUUGUCAGUGGUGCCUAGAAAGUAAUGGAGCAUACUGUAAAUGGUUUAUUUUCUCUUCAAUUUUGUCAUUGGUGGUGCCUGAGUAGCAAUUAAGCAUAAUGCUUUAUUGAUUCUGAACUUUUUGUAAUAUGAAGACUUUAUCUGAAGAGGACGGUAAACUUUUUCUAAUUUGUCUGAUCAAUUAGACUGUUCUGAAUACUAGGAAUAUUACGCAUCAUUUUUCCAACCAGUUUAGUGAUGCUAGCCCUCACAACUUUAAAACACUUAUAUACAUUUUAGAAGAGUCACCCCUUAUGAGCGUCAAGAACUUCUCUACCCCUUGACAAUGUUGGAUGCUGCAUGGAUAAUGGUUCUUAUGGUACAAUCACUUAGAUAACAGGCUCAAAAUAUCGUGUCACAGAUUUGAUCAUUCAUUUGGAUUAUGGAUGUAACAUGGUAUUGAAUGCCAACUACUUUUGCCAUGUUGUAUUGAUUAUUGUGUGAAACUACAUUUGGCUUGUUUACUGGAGAAAACAAUUAGAUCAUGCAGUAUUCCUGGAAAAUAGUCUUGAAGCUUUCAUAUCUACACAUGGAUCAUUGAAAGUUGUACUUAUUUGGUAUGAUCAUCUGUUCAUUUCUAAAUCAGAGGUUCGGUUUAUUUUUUUGAGGAAAGUGAAAUGAGGCAUCAUUAGGGGUAAAUGUUUUUUUUUUUUUUUUAAAUUGUCAGGAAAUCAGCAAUUUAUUGACCUGUGUAAGUUAGUACAGGGCUAUGAGAUGAAAAUGCUCAUUUAUGCUGGAUUCUCAACUAUGAAAUUUAGAAUCUGUAUGCUCCAACAGUAAAGUGAGAGGGAGUUGUAAUACAAAAGUCCUAAUGUAGGAUCAUUGAAAUUCCAUUAGAAUGCUUUAACUCCAUUAGAUAGUUGUGGAUGAGCUAGGGCCUGCUCUUUCUCUUGGGGCAAUAACAAAGCUGGAUAUUUACCUGGGCUUAGAUAGCUGCUCUCUUGCUGGCGGGGCAAUAACAAUGGCUGGCGGUGGGCCUGGGGUAGGGUAAAUGGUCAUUUGGCAUCCAUACCUUUCAAUGACUGUCUUACUUAACCUGUUGUUAGCUGCUUUUUUUUUUUCUUGUUUCAAUCAGUUAUUCGCAAGAUGUUGGUGUUGCCCCAUACACUCUCAUCCUUGAUUUUCCCUUUGCUCACCAAGUUAAAUUAAAGCUUUAGAGCACCAUUUUUCCAAUUUAUGAAAUAUAAUGAUUAUACUGGAGGGAUGGCUAAUCAGGAGGACAUAGGCUUGCUAGUUCCAUUUGUUGUGGCGAUUGUUGUCAUAUAUUUGAUUCUAGAUCCAUAAUAAGCUGACAAGAAGCUAAUUUUUUUGGCGAGUUUUGCCAUAGAAGUGUAUCAUCGUGAGGAUUCAUACUACUUGAUGAUUUCUUUAAUUCUCCUUUUAUUAAUUUCUACACCUUUUAAUUGGAAGCUGAAGCCAUCUCUGUUUUCUCUGAUGUUUCAGUUAAACUUCUAAAAGAUGCCAGAUUUUUCUUUGCAUGCCAUAACCUCACCUGAAAGUGGAUUAUUUUGCAGGUUGCAGAGCUACUUGGCUUCAACUCAUGCAUGCAAUCAUGUUUGGAGUAUUUAGAGGCAGUCCCUUGGGUUGGUGAAGAAGAAGAAGAAAAGGUGGUUUCUUCGGUUCUGCAACUCCAGGUAGAGGGUAUUGGGGUCACCCCAGUACUGAAACGAGUCUCUUCUGAAGUCAGUAACUGCCCGAAGGACACACUCUUCCACAUAAUGGAACUGGUUCUAAAGAGUAGUGAGGAGAGAGGCCGACGUGAGAUGAAAUCUAUAGUCCUGAAGCUCCUUCGAGAAAAUAGCAGUGUCCCCAGCUAUGCGGGUUCAGCUGACAUCUGCAAUGAAACUAUUUAUAGCUCAUGCAGAAGCUGCUUGGAUUCAUUAUUAUCUAUGUUCAGGCAAGCUGCUGAACCAGGGUUUACUGAUAAACCCAUGGAAAACAAAGAACCUGUGUUGAAGCAGAUAACUUUGGAGGCUGAUAACCUCUCAUGGUUACUUGAAAUUUUAGCUGACAGGCAAGCAGCAGAUGAGUUUGCAGUGAUGUGGGCUAGCCAGCAAGAGUUAGCAACCCUACAUACAAAGCUUCCUGUUGUCUCUCGCCACCAUGUUAGCUGCAUUACGGCAAGGCUAUUUGUUGGAAUAGGAAGGGGGGAGCUGCUACCGUCAAAAGACACCCGUCAGUUGUUGUUACAGACCUGGUUGCAGCCUUUGAUCAAUGACUACAGCUGGUUACAACAUGGGUGUAGGUCAUUUGACAGGAAGGUUGUAGAGGAAGGAAUUGGUAGGACAAUCCUGACACUGCCUCUAGAGGAUCAGCAGAGUAUUUUGCUUGCUUGGUUGGGCAGUUUUCUAAAGGCUGGUGAUAACUGCCCAAAUCUUCAGAGGGCCUUUGAGGUCUGGUGGCGGAGAACUUUCGUUAGACCUUAUGUUGAACCCCAAGGAAAUCUAAUGUAGUCAGAUAGCUCAAUGACUUCAUGAUGGGUGGCUAAAAGCAUAUCACUGUGUGUUGCAACUUGCAAGUAAUGAUAUGUAUAAAUUUAAUAGGGAUGAUCUUUCACAAUGAGGAGGAGUUCCAUCUCUACUUGAAAGGCAACAGAAAAAGAGAAGAAGAAAUGUUGACGGGAGAAGUUCACAGAGUUGACAUGGAGAUGGGAACAGUGACAUGACUUGGGUUUGAAUCCUUCCCCUGAAUGUUCUUGACGGUAAGGUAAUACAGAAAGGGAAAGAAAAUGAACUUCUUGUGGAUUGAUGAAUGUGGGUUGAUUGCUUGAUGUAGAAAUACUUGAAAGAAAUGUAUUAUGGAGUUGAGGCUUUGUGUGAAUUUAAUUUUACUCCGAUAUUUUUACUGGUAAAAGCUAGAAAUGCAUUUUGAAUGGACCUCUCCUAUGAAAAUGAUAUUUGAAUUGUUUACCAGGGCCUGUGGAGUAACAAUUUAUCCAUACAAUAGAAAGCAGGAGUAAAGACUGCAGGAACUGUUUCUGUAUUCACAGUAUAAGCUAAAGAAAUGUCCAUGUUGGUUAACUGUUAAUUUACGAAACUGCCCUGAACUGUGAUAAACUGUAACUGAUCAUUUUUCUGAGGGAGGGUGCUAAACAAGUUAGACUUCCAACAUCCCAUCCCACCAUGUGAUUCAUUUGGGUAUUGAAGCUUUAACUGAGUAUCCCCUCUAUUUAUCUAGUCAGGGAAGGAUGAUGAUAUGAUUGAUACUGAGGUGGUAUUCCUUGCUCGUAUUGUCGUGAUAAGUGAAAACCAUGUGACAAUCCUCCAGCAAUGAGAGGCCCUCAUGUCACUACAAAAUUGAGUUCACGUGUUCUUCGAUAAUGUACCCUGUCUGGGUCACAAAUAUUUGAUGUAGUGGACCAUAGUUUCUACCCAAAAGGGGAAAAGAAAUAAGAGAUGAAAAUUUGCUUUUGGUUUGUCUGUUUGGUAUGGUGAGAAGAUAAACUGCAGUCCACAGUUUGGUGCAAUGAACUCUUCCAACUCUUGCUAAAAGGCCAACUGAUUGGUACUAACAUGUCCUUUUAUUGUCUAACCAAAUUUUAGGUCACUUGAUUUUUAACUCUGGUGGAUACUACUUACAGGUGAAUAACCAUGGCUGUGGGGGAAUUCUGGACGAUUGAUUUUGAUGAAAAAAAAGGCUAGUGUGUUAGGGUUUUUUCCAGUUAGAAAUUGAUGCUUACCUUCUGUAUCUGUUGCCAUCUUUCAGGACUUUGGUUAUAGAAAAUGUACAAUAUGUGUCUUCUGUUUUGGGUAACCCAAGGUCCCAAAUAAAGUAGUGAAUGAGAUUGGAGCAUAAAAGAGCUGACAUAAUUUCUUGGCCGAGGCUGGAGUCUCUGCAAUUUAUGGUACUAGAACAGACAGGCUUCCGAUAUUUGGUUGGAGCCCUGAAAACACAUUAAUUUCGGCCUAGGUUUUGAUGGUGGGUUGAGUCAUUUCUCUAGUCUACACAUAAACCUGCUCUGCCCAUAUGACAACCUUGUGUGCAAUUUUUUGUCUCCCAUUGACCACCUUUGGUGGGGUUUGUGCAUAUUUAGUGAGUAAACAUAUAAUAUCAUGGAGUGGUCAUUUCACAAGACAAUGCUCCACUGAAUUAGAAAAAAAAGAUGGUCAUUUUCUUCAUAUCAUGAAUGAAUAUUACAUAGAGAUGUAUGAUGGUAUAAGAGUUACAUGACUGGGUAUGUAGAACUGCAAUUUAUGGAGGGCUCCUAAUUCUCAUACUCAUCUCUUUGUCCAUGCCAAACCAACCAAAAUUACAAUCCAAGUGGACUACAAAAUCAGAGGUUUUAAAUGUUGCAACUGGAAACUAAGAGUGUGUUUGAUAAUGAUUCUAAAAAACGUUUAUAAUAUUUCUAAGACUUAAAUCAUAAAAAAUUUCAAAUAUUAAAAAAGUUAGAAACGUUUUCUAAAAUCACUACCAAACAGGUUCUAAAUAAAAGACAUAAAACAUCGUACCAAUGCACGGGUACACCUUUAAUGUGACAUUUAGUUUUUACUUCUCAUGCAUAGAGAUUUGAUACUUGAAAUGCAAUGAAUCUUAAUAAGAGUCACUUCAAUACAACCAUGCUCAUUUUAGGAAGUAGAACUACAUUAACCAUCAACCUUUUU
rnacentral:lncRNA from 1 species